UCCACAAAUUAUGAUUUAUUACCACAAUUUUAUAUAUUACAAAAUUGCUAAAGAUUAGCACAAUAUAAUGUGUGAUAAUUUUACCACGAAUUACAAGAAAAGUAUGGCGAGUAAAUAAAAUUCAUUACAUUAAAAACUAAAAUUACGAAAAACAAAAUAAAAAUAAAUCUUCUAUGACGCUGGAGGGACCGAGAGUGGCGGUGGAGGGACCGAGCAGCAGUGGAGGGCCAACAGCAGCGACGGAGAUAAUGACAACAGUGGUGGAAAGAUCGACAGCAGCGGUGGAGGGAGCUUCAGCGGCAGUGGAGCAACCGUCAGCAGUGAUGGGGAUGAGGUGGAAUAAGCGGCAGCGGUGGGGAAAGUAGAGAGAUCGUUGAUGAAUAUGGCAAAGAAUAGGGAAAUAGAUCUGAAAAAAUGGUGAAAAGUAAAGUUAGAUCUCAAAAAUGGCUGAAAGCGAUUGUCUUUUUCCACAUAAAAUCAAAUCUGACAUAAUAAAUAAAUAGAUCUAGAUAAAGAGAGAGAAAAGAGCAGUGAAGAAAGGGAAAAGAAGAGAAAGAAAGAAAAUGCAAGAGAUAGAUCGGGCGAACAAGAAAGGAAGGAAGAGAAGAAAACAAAAGUAAGGUGGAGAAGAGAAGGAAAGAAGGAGAUCGGUGGAGAAGAGAAGAACAACAAAUGAUAUAAAUUAAAACAAAUUUGCCAUAAAUGCUCACAAUUUUUAUAUUUUGGCAAAUUUAAAAAUCUCUGAUAAUAUAGUGGCAAAUAUUAAAAUAAAUUUUACAUAAAAAUUUGUGGUAAAUACUUACCACGGAAUGCCACCAAAUUUGUUAACGUGGCAAAAUUGUUACGAAUUUGCCACAAAAUACAACAAUAUUUUAAAAAAAUUAUUUGUAGUAAAUUUGUUAUAAUUUCGUGGUAAAAUAUCGUUACCACAAAAUAAUUGUGACAAAAUUCUGAUUUGGUUAUUCCAAAAUAUAGAAUGAUCUUUGACCAGAAAUUUAAAUUUAAUCAUAAAUGAUAAAAGUAAUGAAAGUUAAAUACGAAAUUUUGCUUGGAUUUGGUUAUUCUCUGUAUUUAUUGUGGUAAUUUAAUUUUGCCGGCAAACGAAAAGACACCUUUAUCGUCUCUGUUCAAUGUCUCUCUUCAAAGACAGCUAUUCGGCUCUAUUAAAACCGCACUACCUCUUUAAAUUCAAUCCCUUCACCGUAACUUCCUACUUAUAACCAUCAUAACUUCCUCUAUCAUUCCAUUUUCUUCUUCCUCAAUCCCUUUUCUUAUCCAUUCUAUUUCCCUUUUCAUCGAAAUAAACCAUGGUUUAAAGGAGAAACAGAGGUGGUGAUGGUGAUUUUUCCCAUCUUCUCUCGCUCCCUGAUGAAUUGCUGGAAACAAUUCUGGCCGCAACAAACCCAUCUUUAAGGGAAAUAGCCCGCCUUCGUGCUGUAUGUUCUCAUUCAACAAUAUCGGCACAAGCAAGGGUUUCUAUCAAGCGAUUGAUCCUGCCCAAAUCCUCCAUGAACAUGCGGCAGUUCCACAUUACCCAACGAUGCUGAGGAGAUUCCAUGACGCGGGUAAUCCAGGGGCUAUUUUCCAGAGGAGGAUGCAAGCUUACUUUCUGUUCCACGAUGGUGAAGGCGUGGAAUUGAUAAGGGAUGCUACGGAGAGAGGAUACGACCGAGCCAUUUUUGUGUACGGGAUGUGGCUGAGAGCAGUGACGAAAGACUUCGUCCGUGCAGAGGAGUAUUUGGGCAGGCUCACCGUGCAAAAUCGGAGGAGGAUGAGCCGGAUGUUGCUGGCCCACGUUCCACAUGGAUGGAAUUUCGACUUGCCAAUCGAUUUCACUGAGAAAGCGGCUACCUUUCAUCCGAGAUUCCUGGCGCUGUACACCUGUCAGUGCGGGGUUAUCAAUUACUGGCACCAAUGGUUUGAAGAAGAUUUUAAGGAGCCAAAGUGCAUAACAUGUUUCUGGGCCCAAGAGACCUAAAGGUUCUUCCGCUUCAUUCGGAAUGUCGUUCCAAGCUGGUCGUUGAUGAUCGAUUGGUGAAAGCCGUAACCUUAUGUGUCUUAGUAUUUCGUUGCAUUUCGUGUGUCUUUAAUUAUUGAUGUUGUCUUAGUAUUUCGAACUACAAGUGAUGUUUUUGAUUUGCAUGUCUACUUUCAUUUUUUUAGUUGCAACUCUUUCUUACUUUUUGUAUAAACAUUAUCUUUCUUAGUAGUUGAUUUUAUGAUAAUUAUGUUGGUAAAUGUAUUAAUUUAUCAUAAAGGUGUUUAAAAUUUUUAAAAAUAGAUAAAUUAUCCUUCCAAAAUCGAAAUGAAAGUGGUUGGACAUCAAUUUUAUCUCAUUGACAUUAAUUCAUGAUGUACACCUAUUCACGUAUACCUAUGUACAUACACCUACUUACGUAUACGGGAUCAUAAACCGAUUUCAAACAUAAAGCUGUUUGAAAAUAAAAUAAAAUUACACAUUUUUAAAUGUAAACUUUGAAAUGAGAGUGCUUGGACAUUAAAUAAAUACGUUGUUGGAUAAUUUAUGAUGUACUUGGACAUACGCUGUUUGAAAUGAGAGUGCUUGGAUAAUUUAUCCUUCCAAAACUCGAAAACAAAUUGGUUGGACACCUAUUGACAUAAAUUUUAUCUCAUUGACAUUAAUUAUUGAUGUACACCUAUUCGCGUAUACCUAUAGACAUACACCUACUUACGUACACGGGAUCAUAAACCGAUUUUAAACAUAAAGCUGCUUGAAAAUUAAAUAACAUUACAAAGUUUUAAACGAAAAAUUUGAAAUGAGAGUUCUUGGAAAUUAAAUAAUUACGUCCACCAAAGGUCGUAUACCUAUUUACGUCCACCUACAUAGGCAUACGAGAUUGUAUACCUUUUUGAGACAUAAAGCUGUUUGCAACUAAAAUAAUUAAUUACUCUUUCAAAAUUUAUAAACUUCAUAUUUAGUUUUGUUAUAAAAUUUAAUUUAUUAAUACAUCAUCAUUUUUAGUUUUGUAAUACAACUUCUUCAUGAAAGGCAAUCCACCACAACAAUGGGAAAAUAUAUUAAAAUAUUAUAUUUUAAAAAACAAGCGACAAGGGACCAUACCACAUCGAUACUAAAGCAUGUACGCUAUGCGAUGUACCAAACAAGCGACAAGCGACCAUAUGUAUCUUUAUUACGUUGCCAAAAUGACCAGAAUAAGGAUAGUAGCUCUUCGGCCACUUCACGAAGUUCACGCGAAUGAUGAGGAUAAUGGUACCUGAAAACCAUCUUUAGAAGUUUUUCCCCUCUGUUAGGGCGACCCAGGCACAUUUGCAAAAUGGCACAGCUGUAAGUGGCAUAGACGUCUGAUGGAACGAGCUUAUUUAGCAUCCUGAUGGUGGUAUAGAUCUUCUCCUCUGUUGCCACGAACCUUAUAGCUUCGAGCAAUAUGGCCCGUGGAUUUCUAGAGGCUAAGCAGCGCAUGAAAAAAGGCCAAUAUACUGCACCAGGGUAUAUCCGAGAAGGUGUGUCAUGCAAUUGCCAUAGGCUCGCCGAUCUGAGUACUUCCAUGCUAAACGCAAUGUCUCUACCCCGGGUCCUUGCCAGAAUAAUCGGUCUAAGGUAUAUGCAGUCAGCCUUAGCUACUUUCUUGACAAUGAUUUCGAAAACAUGAUCUGGUAAAUCUCGCAUUUUUUGGGAAGGUUAUAGGGUUUGUGUAGGGUGAACUAUGUUCUCAAUAUUAUGAACUAUGUUCUCAAUAUUACCAUCAUUCUAUCUCUAUUAUAUUGAAUUCGAUGGGUUGUUCUUGUUGAGAAAUAGUUAAUGGUAAGACAAUUAGUUCUCUUACUUACUUUUUGAAGUGAUGUUUACUUACUUGGAGCCUUUAAUUUAGUUACGUUCUUAGUAGUUUCGUUUAAUGUGUAGUUGCAACAGAAGUAAUAUUACAAUAAGUUUGUGAAGUGAUGUUUACUUACUUUGUAGCUUUAAUUUAUUACCAAAGAUAACUACUGAAAGAUAAUUACUGAAGGUAGUUGUUACUGUCAUUGUUACUAAAGAUAACUACAAAAAUUAAACUACUGGUUACAUUGUUACUACUAGUUACGUUCUUAGUAGCUACUUGUUACAAUAAGUUUGUGAAGUGAUGUUUACUUACUUUGCACCUUUAAUUUAUUACAACAAUUAAACUACUAGUUGCAAUUAAAAAAACUAAACUACAAGUUGCAAACGAAUAGCUAAAAAAAAUAGCUUAUGCGCAGAGCCGUGCAUUAUAGAAGACAAUACUCGCAGUCUGGUGUUUUAUAUCGGAUACAUAUUUACGUAAUUAAUGACGAAACUAACAAAUGCUUGGACAAUACAUGAAAUCGAUUUAAAAAAUUAUAUAAAGUCAUAAACUUCGACAAAAACAAACUAACAAAAUUCACGACAAUAUUUAAUUUCAAAUAAAUAAUUAAAGGGAAAUAAAAUAGUGUUCUUAUUUUUUGCAAAAGAAAUAACACAAUUCCACAAACAAAAGAAAUAGAAGAAUUCACGACUUCAUGCUCCUCUGGCGUGCUCCACCGUCCAUGCAAGUGCAGUGGUUUCAAAAGCAGUCCUGUCUUCCACGUAAAUCGUUGCAACUUCUUCAACAAAAAAGUGUCCUUCACUUAUUUGGGGGGCAGUUAACAUUUGGUGUAUUUCAGUGAGUACCUGAUUACAUAGAGAUAGAUACACAGUUAAGCCCUGAUUUCAUUGAAAUUAAGACUUAUUAAGCAAAAGACAAUAACGAUUUCUUUCUUUCAUAAGUAAAAAUACAUCAUUGAUGCUGUUAUUGGUCUUGGAGUGAGUUGGGUUCAACAUCUUAAGAAAAAUGUUCCCAUAAGUAUUAAUGUUUGGGUGAUACACUUUUGUUUUGAACGUCACCUGCAAGAACAUUGUUAUUAGUAAUUAAAAUCUUUAUUGACUAAAUCCCUAACUAAAAAUACAUAAAUUUAAGAGAGCAAUUAUAUGCUUCAUUCCUUAUCCUCGGUGGCGCGAAAGGGUAGUCAAGCGGAAAGUGAAUGUCUAGUUUGAAAACCCCAUUCUCAUAGGGUGAACCUUUAGGCCCCAUUAUGAUAGCUUCCCAGUGAUACAAGUCCUCACCCACAGGUCCUAAUCAAAUCGGCAAAACACUAAUUAGGUAGACGAUAUAAAAGACCAAAAACUGUUAAGCAUUAACCUAUCCUCAAAAGCUAAAACUAAAAAACUACCCUAUUUUCAAAAGAACCAUCAAUUGCAAUGAGAUCACUUUGGCAGAGUACAUUUUUAGAAAGUAACUAUUAAUUUUUGUAAUUAACUUUUGCAGUCUCCCGAAACUUGUUUCACUGAAGAAGGCAGGAGACGGUUUUUAUAGAGGACGAGAGGAAAAACAUUUUAAAGAGAGCAAAACGAGACGGUCAACGGUGCCUGAAAAAAAAAACGGGUUUCUAAAAAGGUUCUUAAUUUUUUUUUGUCAUUUCCUAUUUGAUUUUUUGGGUCGCGUUUAUUCGGCAUACACUGUUUUCCAAUAUUACGGUUUUUCAAAAACGUAAUGAAUUGAUUCUUGAAAAAACCGUUUAUUUGUGCUGUCUUGUCCUACAAUUUCAUUUCAGAGACACGAUCUUUGUCCAUCUUCUAGAUAAUGUUUUCUUUCUGUGCUAUAGAACCAUGUCUUUGAUAAUUAUUUUGAUCCUCUAAACAAGUAAAACUCUAAACCCUAAAUCGUAAACCCUAAGCCCUAAACCCUAAACCCUAAACAUAAGCCAUAAUGUGCAUACACCUAUAUUUAUAUGCGUACACCAUAUAAUGUAAACUUAGCCAUAAGGCAUAAUGUGCAUACAUCUAUAUUUAUAUGCAUACACCUAUAUUUAUAUGCGUACACCAUGUUGUCCACCGUGACAGGUGUACACAAACUGUGUACAUCUUGUCCAGUAUACAUCAUAAAAUUUAUAACAAAUAUAACAUAGUUCAUGCCUUGCCAAGUUAAGUAUAGGGAAACAUAGUUUACACAAGAAACAAAAUCCGAAAACCAAAGCGAGAUCCACCCAGAAAACCCAACAAGACCCCCACAAAAACAAAUGUGGCUCACUCUUUCCAAACACAACAAAAGACACACAAAAGCCACACCCGGUCAACCCAAUGGUUCCUUGCAUUUUGCCUGGUUAUGGCCGGGAUUUCCACAUCUCGAGCAUUUGUUUGGCUUCUCUUUUUUUGCAACCUGCAACAACGUAUAUCAGUAAUCAAUAAUACUAUGACUGGGAAAGAUAAUUGUUUAGGUGUAUACUAACCUGAGGAUACUCUCCUGCUGAAAGUUUUCUCUUUGUCGUAGGCCUUCCUGAUUGACGUUUUGACUUAGGUGGCAUAAUAUUCAGGUCACUGAUAACACCGUAUUUUGACCACUUUUAUGGAUCAUAAUUGUAUCUUAUGCAGGUGUUUUAACUCUGUUUUCAAUGGUUUUUAAAGUUUUUUCAAUUUUUUAGAGUUUUAAAAGACUUUACAGGAAACUUGGGCAAAAGAUAUGCAAUUUGGAACAAACGAGCAAUUUUGGAUAAAUGCAGACCGUCAGAAAUAUGACAAGCGAUGAAGACCUUCUAAACGUCUGAUCACCCCCAAAAUUUGAGACAACAUAGAGGAUCCAACCAGCUUUCUAAUUCACUUGGUUUGGAGAGAAUCCAACGGUUAAAUCUUCAGAUACUCUCGAUGCGAGAAUGACAGAAAAUGCAGUUCCGGAAGAGAGCCAUGUGCCGGGACCGCGGCCAACACCUAUUUUCCCGCGGGUAGAGCCACCGCGACCGCGGUACUUGGUCGUUCACUUUCCAGACGACAUUAUUAAAGCCCAGAUCAAUUCCUUUCGUUAUUUUUGAAGCCCUAAGUGUCCAGGACCACCCCAGAAGCUAUAAAUACCCUCUUUAGGUCAUUCUAAAGAGAGGAAUGGAAGGAGAGACAAACUUAGAGAGAGAGAUAUAGAGAUUUUCGUGUGAGAAACCCUAGGAGGCCGCCGCCUUUGAAGGAGGAGCCGUCGAGGAGAGCAUCAUCGCGCCUCCAUCUGCAAUUCCGUUCUUUGUUCUUCUUCCUUGUUCUCUUUAAUUUCCUGCACUUUCAAUUUCGUUUAUGAUGCUUUGUUACAAUAUGUUUGAGUAGUUACCCAGUUGGGUUUAAAGGGAUUUUUCAAAGGGAAUUUAUGAAUCGAUAGAUUUAGGAUUAUUAAUCUUCUAGAUGUUCUUCGUUUGCCUUUAAUCUUACUGCGUGAUUCUUUGCUGGCCACUUAGAAGCCGAUCUGACAUGAUAUGUUGCAAAAGCUUUCAUUGAUUGUCUGAACUAGGGUGAAACGAGCAAUGAUUCUAUAGGAGUGGAAACCUACCUGUAGUUGAGUUGUGAAUAUUGAUGAGUCUUGUUCUGCUAUUGCAUUUUCUCCCUUCCAGGAUCAGAGUGGAAACCUACUGAUCAGGGUUGCGAGAGAUAGUUGUUUAGUGCUGCGAAAGUAGGCUAUUCAUACUUCCAUGCCUCGAGUUCUAGAAUAUACGUAGUUGAUUACCUUUAUCACUUGUUUAAAAUCUACCUAGCAUAGACUUGAACCCCUGCGAGUUCCCCUUGAUGCCCAACGUUUGUUUCCAUUGUUUACAGUCUUGCUUUUCAAUCGCUAUUUACUUGCUUUCAUUCGCUUUUGUUUAAUCGAUUUUACCUGCUUUUUUUUGCUUUCGUUUUCAAUUGCUCUUUAGUUUUUACUUGCUUUCUAGUUUAGAUUUAGUGACAACCAAAACCCAAAACCAAAACCAAAACCCUUUUUAGUUUUAGUCUGAUUUAAGCAUUGCAGUGAAUUCGUACUGAAACAACUAAGUCUUUGUGGAUCGAUACCCUAAGUACUACAGCGCACAUCUGUGCACUUGCAGACAUUUAGGGGUUAUAAAUUUAAAACCUGAAGCUUAGUAGAACGAACCAAUACCCCGUUUACAAACCGCAAUCAAGUUUUUGGCGCCGUUGCCGGGGACUUUGAUUUGUUUCGUUGCGAAUCCCAGCUUAAAUCCAUUAGAACACUUUUUUACUUUUACUUUUUCUUUUGAAAUUUUCAGGUUUCUCUGCAAUGAGAGGCCGGGAACAUGUUCCUGGGACUCUUGGUGAUCCACCAAAUCGUGUGGAUGGUGAUCCAAGCGAUGAUGACCUGACUGAUGACGAGUUUGAAGAACCGAUCUAUGAUGACAAUGAACUGAUCGGAUCGACAAAACGUGAAGAUGAUGAUGAACUGAUUGGAAGUUUCGAUUCACUCGAGAAAUUCUUGUGAGAUCGAAGAGCUUUUCAACCAGCCUUACCAGAGGAAGGCAAAACCGAAAUUGAGGUACCAUAUAUCCAUUUAGUUCAACAAAAUCAAUUCCGUGGUUAUUCAUUCGAAAACCCGAUUGACCAUAUCGAGACGUUCGAAGAAUUAUGUGCAACCAUUACAGCAAAUGGGGAUUACACAAGUGUAGUCUUUUCCCAUUCUCUUUGAGAGACAAUGCCAGUAAAUGGCUAAAAUCUUUAGACCCUGCUUCACUAAAAUUGUGGGCAGCAUGUAGAACUGCUUUCCUAAAUCGUUUUUAUACUAAAAAUCGUUCAAAUCUUUUAAGAAACAAGAUAUGAACUUUUAAACAAAAAGAAGAUGAAGAUCUUUUAGAUACUUGGGAAAGAUUUAGGGAAUACCAAAGAGAUUGUCCACACCAUGGAUAUACCGAGGAAUACCUGCUGGGUAUCUUCUAUCACGGUAUAACUCCAGAGUUACAACACUCUUUCAACACAGCAAGUAAUGGAGACUUCUCAACUAGAUCUGUAGAAGAUGCUCAUGCUUUCAUCAACAAUUUCGCAAACAGAAUCCGAAAUCAAGUAACCUUUGGUAAUUUUGCACUUCCUGAGAAGAAAGAAGAAAUUUCGGAAGUUAUGAACUGUCUCCAUCACAUAAUGAGUCAUCUUGGAUUGCAACAACCAAAUAAGGUACACAAUACGUGUAACUUUGACGGCUGGGACAACCCAAUGGAUUCUUAUGAUCAAGGGAUGUGAACACUGCAGAAGUCUAUCAAAUUCAAGAUUUUCCCUUCGUUUCUGAUCACCGCGGGUCCAUUCAUCCGGACCGCGGCAAACCAAGCUUUCACCGCGGUCGUGAUGCUACUGACCGCGGCCAAGACAUGUUUCACCGCCGUCGCGAGCCUUCUUACCGCGGGAAAUUAUCUUCCGAGCUUGCCUGGAAAUUACCUUCCGAACCAAUCUUGGCUAUUCAAUCUAAUCCUGUUUCAUAUCCUAGUUUUCCCUCUUCUGAAGCUGAAAACCUAAACAAAAGAAUUCUAGAGCUUGAAAAAUCUAGGUCUCAAGAGAUUAGUGAUCUUAGAUCUGAACUAAAAACGAUGCAAGAAGAUUUCAAUGAAAAAUUUUCCACCCUCCUUAGCCUGAUAAUCAAAACUAAUUAUAAAAAUUUAGAAAAUUCUGAAGAGGAGCCAAGUGAAAAUUCUUUCGAAAACUCAAGUGAAGCAGAUCCCUCUGAUCAUGUGAAAGCUAUCACACUUAGUAGUGGAUUAGCUUACAAAGAGCCUGAAUUUCCUAAAGAUCCUGAAGAUGAGGAAAAGGGUAAGGAAAAGGAAAAAGAAAGAAUCACGAAUGAAGAUGUUGAAAGAGAAGUGGUAGGAGAGAAGGAUGGAGAAGAAGUAAGAAAAGAUUCAUCCCGGGAAAUCCUUGGAGAAGAUCCAAUUCCACCUCCACCAACUCGUGUCAAUAAACCUAAACCUCCAUAUCCUAGAGCCUUAAGAGCCCCUAAGAAGGAGAAAGAAAAAGCUAAGCUGAAAGAGUUAAUUGAUCAGUUAAAUGUGAGAUUACCUUUCGUAGAAGCUUGUGCUAUGAUUCCUGCUUUAAGAAAAUACAUGAAGGGUAUUCUAACAAAUUCUUUAACUCUUGAAGAAGGCGUUAUGAUGAUAACCCAUGAAUGUAGUUCUAUCCUGCAAAGCCUUGAAAAGAAAAACGAUCCUGGAAGCUUUGUACUUUCAUGCACCAUCAAUGAUGUAGUUUUUGAGCGUGCUCUCUGUGAUUUAGGAUCUAGCAUAAACAUGAUGCCUCUUUCAGUAGCAAAACGUUUAGGACAUCACACUUUCAAGCCCACUAAAAUUUCUUUAGUACUAGCUGAUCGUUCCGUUAGACAACCUGUAGGUAUCUUAUUUGAUGUGCCCGUAGAAAUAAAAAAAUGUUCCAUACCCACUGAUUUCGUAGUUCUAGAACUAGAAAAAGAACCCAAGGAUCCACUUAUUCUUGGAAGACCAUUCCUAUCUACAGCCGGAGCCAUAAUCAAUGUUCCUGAAGGAAACAUUGACCUUCAUCUAGCCGGCCUAGUUAUGCAGUUUGACAUGAACAAAAGUUUCGAUAAACCAACUUUGGAUGGCAAAGUUUGUUGGGUUGAUGAGUUAGACGGAAUUAUUGAGGAAGUCUAUGAAGAUCUGCUUCUAGACGACCCUUUAAGUAUCACGCUUUCACCCGCAAAAGAUGAACGCAAUUUCCUUGAAGAAACUUCAAGUGAAUGCACACGUAUGCUUGAUAUAUCCAAAACUUAUGGGAAACCUCUGAACUAUCUAGAUCUUAAGGACCAAACAAACAUUCCUACACCUCCUAAAGACACUGCUGCAGCAAUUAAUGAUCCUUAAAGCAAGCUUAAAGCCCCUAAAGUUGAGCUUAAACCUCUUCCCGUCGGACUUAAGUACGCUUUCCUUGGACCAAAUUCUACUUAUCCUGUCAAAAUAAACUCUGGUUUGACGGAAGAAGAAACCACAAUGCUGUUGACUGAGCUGAGAAAGCAUAGAAAAGCCUUAGGAUAUUCACUUGAUGACAUACCUGGAAUCUCUCCAGAUCUUUGUAUGCACAAGAUAAAUCUAGAAGAUAAUGCUAAAAACUCAAUCGAAAGUCAAAGGAGACUGAACCCUAAUCUCAUGGAUGUUGUCCAGAAGGAGACUAUGAAGCUUUUAGAAGCUGGAAUAAUAUUUCCUAUCUCAGAUAGCACUUGGGUUAGCCCAGUUCAUGUUGUUCCAAAGAAAGGAGGAGUCACUGUCAUUAAAAAUGAUAAGGAUGAAAUGAUCGCUACAGGAACAGUAACUGGACAUCGUAUGUGCAUCGAUUACCGGAAACUGAAUGCAGCAACUAGGAAAGAUCAGUUUUCCACUUCCCUUCAUAGAUCAAAUGCUAGAAAGAUUAGCUAAUCACCCCUACUAUUGCUUCCUUGAUGGAUACUCCGGAUUUUUCCAAAUUCCUAUUCGCCCGGAGGAUCAAGAAAAAACGACAUUCACUUGUUCAUAUGGCACGUUUGCUUACCGACGUAUGCCUUUUGGAUUGUGUAAUGCACCUGCUACCUUCCAGCGGUGCAUGAUGUCGAUCUUCACAUACUUUAUUGAAGAUUUCAUGGAAGUAUUCAUGGAUGAUUUCUCGGUCUAUGGAUCUUCUUUUGAAAAAUGCUUAGCCAAUCUUGGUAAAGUUCUGCAAAGAUGUGAAGAUAAGCACUUAGUAUUAAAUUGGGAAAAAUGUCACUUCAUGGUACAAGACGGAAUCGUGCUUGGGAACAAGAUUUCGGGAAAAGGAAUUAAAGUUGACAAAGCUAAAAUCGAAGUCAUGACAAGCCUACAACCUCCCACAAACGUAAAAGGCAUCCAUAGUUUCUUAGGACACGCAGGAUUCUAUAGGCGAUUCAUAAAAAAUUUUAGAGCUAGAUUGGGAUUGACGGAUAACGAUAUAUGGGUUCUAGAGCUAGAGUACGGCGGUAUGACUACGUCACUGUCGUGAUCAUAACCAACUGUUUCUUGUAACCCUGACCAGUAGGUUUCCACUUUGGCCCUGGAAGAGAGAGAACGCAAGAGCUGCACAAGACUCAUCAAUACUCACGAUCUCGCCGCAGGUAGGUUUCCACUCCUACGGAAAAAUUGCCUGUUUCAUUCUAGGCCUGAUACGUAAUGAAAACUUUCGCAACACUAACUAUCUUGAUCAGAUACUAGGUGAUCAAUCAAGCAUACAUGCAAUAAGAACAAGAAUAAACAGAGAACAGGUCGAAAUCCCAGAUCUAUAAACCUUGUCUUAAUCGAUUAUGAGAGCCCCUUUCAGGAACCCUAAGCCCAACUCGGGAUCUACUCAGACAUGGCUGAGGUCGACAUCAUCAUCGGUUUUAAUAAAAGUAAUGAAAAACAGUAAAGAAAAGAGAUAAAGAAAGCUUCUCUAUUGAAGAACUCGGACUUGAACAAUCUUCUACAAAAAUCUCAUAAAAACGGCUAAAGAAAAAGGGUUUCUGUAAAGUAUGAUGGGUUCUCCCUAAAAACGACCUAAAUGACAUGUAUUUAUAGUCUCCAAUACUCCAUGGUCUCUAGGGUUCCGGAAUUGAGGCUGAGAAUGACUUUGGGCUUCAGAUAUAUGGGCUUUAGUUCGGAGCUUGAUGGCCGUGGUCGGGAGUGACGUGACCGCGGGGAUUGAGUGGUUGGCGGCAGUCGUGAAGCUUCUCGCCGCGGGAAAUAGGUUGUUGGCCGCGGUCGCGUGCUUUGCUGGCCGUCUUCGAGUGGCUCCGGGGCUUAUGGAAUAUCUUGAGAUCCAACCGUUGGAAUGUCUCCAAACCAAGUGAAUUUGAAAGCUGGUUGAUUCUUCUAUAAGUUGUCCAAUUUUGAGGGUGAUCAGAUGGCGAGAAGGUCUUCGUCUCUCCAUGAGAGUUCUGACGGUCUGCAUUUAUCCAAAAGAGUCUUUUUGUUCCAUUUUGUGCCUCUUUAUCCCAAAUUACCUGAAAAGUCUUUUAAAAUCCGGAAACAUAGAAGUCAUUUGAAAACCUUUGAAAAUGGAGUAAAAACACCUGUAAAAGAUAUUGAAGUGAUCCAUAAAAAUGGUCAAAAUCCGGUGUUAUCAACUCCCCCAGACUUAGUCUUUUGUUUGUCCUCAAACAAAACAAAGGCUAAAUCUCGGCGAGAGGUUUGAAAACGCAGGAACUAUACAAAAUCUCAGAGACCAAACUUCUAGACCAAUAUCAAUCAGUAUUCAUCAAUCGGGAAUAGCCUAGAAAAUUCUCACUAGCAAUACAGGCAUAAUUAGUCCGUUAAUCCGUCAUGCGAAAAUCUAUGCACUAGGAUCUAACUUCCAGUCAACUAGCUCUUAACAUUUAUUAAAAAUCUCGGUGGUUCUCAUCAAAGAAAGUCUAGGCAAGGCAAUCUAGGCUAGGUGUUAAAAAGGUUAUUCUAGGGGUAAGGCUUAAAGUGUUUAGGGGUUACCUGAAGAUCUGGAGGAUGCAGGAUAUUAUGCAAAACCGCAAGAGAGAGUGAAGCUGUUGGUAUCCACAGUUUUCAGUCACUUUCUUCUUGCCAUAGAUUCCUGGUCUUCUUCCUCAGGUUCUCUCCUAACUCCCCUAGACUUAGAUUUUUGUAAAUCUUUCAAAACCAUAGCUCCUUUCUAACAAAUUCUUUAACUCUUGAAGAAGGCGUUAUGAUGAUAACCCAUGAAUGUAGUUCUAUCCUGCAAAGCCAAAUCCCUGAAAAGAAAAACGAUCCUGGAAGUUUUGUACUUUCAUGCACUAUCAAUGAUGUAGCCUUUGAGCGUGCUCUCUGUGAUUUAGGAUCUAGCAUAAACAUGAUGCCUCUUUCAGUAGAAAAACGUUUAGUACUAGCUGAUCGUUCCGUUAGACAACCUGUAGGUAUCUUAAUUGAUGUUCCCGUAGAAAUCGAAAAAUGUUCCAUACCAACCGAUUUCGUAGUUCUAGAACUAGAAAGAGAACCUAAGGAUCCACUUAUUCUUGGACGACCAUUCCUAUCUACAGCCGGAGCCAUAAUCAAUGUUCCUGAAAGAAAAAUCGACCUUCACCUAGCCAGUCUAGUUAUGCAAUUUGACAUGAACAAAAGUUUCGAUAAACCGACUCUGUAUGGCAAAAUUUGUUGGGUUGAUGAGUUAGACGGAAUUAUUAAGGAAGUCUACGAAGAAAUUCUUCUAGACGACCCUUUAAGUGUCACGCUUUCACCCGCAAAAGAUGAACGCAAUUUUCUUGAAGAAAUUUCGAGUGAAUGCGCGCGUAUGCUUGAUAAGUCUGAAACUUAUAGGAAACCUCUAAACUAUCUAGAUCUUAAGGACCAAAUAAACAUUCCUACUCUUCCUAAAGACACUGCUGCAGCAAUUAAUGAUCCUUAAAGCGAGCUUAAAGCCCCUAAAGUCGAGCUUAAACCUCUUUCCGUCGGACUUAAGUACGCUUUCCUUGGACCAAAUUCUACUUAUCCUCUCAAAAUAAACUCUGGUUUGACGGAAGAAGAAACCAAAAUGCUGUUGACUGAGCUAAGAAAGCAUAGAAAAGCCUUAGGAUAUUCACUUGAUGACAUACUUGGAAUCUUCCAGAUCUUUGUAUGCACAAGAUAAAUCUAGAGGAUAAUGCUUAAAACUCAAUCGAAAAUCAAAGGAGACUGAACCCUAAUCUCAUGGAUGUUGUCAAGAAGGAGAUUAUGAAGCUUUUAGUAGCUGGAAUAAUCUUUCCUAUCUCAGAUAGCACUUGGGUUAGCCCAGUUCAUGUUGUUCCGAAGAAAGGAGUAGUCACUGUCAUUAAAAAUGAUAAAGAUGAAAUGAUCGCUACAAGAACAGUAACCGGACAUCGUAUGUGCAUCGAUUACCAGAAACUGAAUGCAGCAACUAGGAAAGAUCAGUUUUCCACUUCCCUUCAUAGAUCAAAUGCUAGAAAGAUUAGCUAUCACCCCUACUAUUGCUUCCUUGAUGGAUACUCCGGAUUUUACCAAAUUUCUAUUCGCCAGGAGGAUCAAGAAAAAACGACAUUCACUUGUCCAUAUGGCACGUUUGCUUACCAAUGUAUGCCUUUUGGAUUGUGUAAUGCACCUGCUACUUUCCAGCGGUUCAUGAUGUCGAUCUUCACAGAUUUUAUUGAGGAUUUCAUGGAAGUAUUCAUGGACGAUUUCUCUGUUUAUGGAUAUUCCUUUGAAAAAUGCUUAGCCAAUCUUGGUAAAGUUCUGCAAAGAUGUGAAGAUAAGCACUUAGUAUUAAAUUGGGAAAAAUGUCACUUCAUGGUACGAGACGGAAUCGUGCUUGGGCACAGAAUUUCUGGAAAAGGAAUUAAAGUUGACAAAGCUAAAAUCGAGGUCAUGACAAGCUUACAACCACCCACAAACGUAAUAGGAAUUCGUAGUUUCUUAGGACACGCAGGAUUCUAUAGGCACUUCAUUAAAGAUUUUUCUCAAAUAGCUAGACCUCUUACGCAUUUGCUUUGCAAGGAAACGAACUUCGAGUUCGAUGAUGAGUGCUUAGCCGCGUUUCAUAAGAUCAAAGAAGCUCUUGUCUCCGCUCCAGUCGUGCAAGCACCUGAUUGGGAACUCCCAUUCGAAAUCAUGUGCGAUGCAAGUGACUAUGCAGUCGUAGCAGUGCUUGGCCAACGAAAAGAUAAGAAACUGCAUGUAAUCUACUACGCAAGCAGAACUCUAGAUGAAGCUCAAUGCAAUUAGCUACAACAGAGAAAGAACUUCUAGCUGUCUUAUUUGCAUUUGAGAAAUUUCGUUCUUAUCUCGUAGGAUCUAAGGUCAUAGUUCAUACUGAUCAUGCUGCAAUCAAGUAUUUAAUGUCUAAGAAAGACGCUAAACCUCGGUUGAUAAUAUGGAUCCUCUUACUGCAAGAAUUCGACAUCGAGAUUCGAGAUCGAAAAGGCGCAAAUAAUGGAGUUGCAUACCAUCUUUCACGAAUUCGAGUUGAAGAAAGAUUGCCCUUAAAUGAUAGUUUGCCGGAAGAAACAUCUAUGCAAUAGAUACAACCCCAACCAAUGCCAAUGCCGCACCACCACGUCAACUCAUGCGACGAGCAGAUGCUUUCAACACCCCAUGGUUUAGGCACAUAGCGAAUUACCUAGCAGCUGAUGUAGAACCACCACAAUUCUUUGGUUAUAGGAAGAAAAAGUUCCUGAAAGACAUAAGACAUUAUUUUUGGGAUGAACCCUAUCUCUAUAAGAGAUGUGCUGAUGGGUAUUCCGAAGAUGCGUGGCUGAAGAAGAGAUGGAAAGAAUUUUAUUCGGAUGCCAUAGCUCGUCUUACGCAGGACAUUUUGCAACCUUCAAAACCGCUUCAAAGAUCUUACAAGCAGGUUUUUGGUGGCCUACUUUGUUCAAAGAUACUCAAGCUUAUAUAUCGCGAUGCAAUAAAUGCCAAAGGAUGGGCAACAUAAGCAAAAGGAAUGAGAUGCCUCAAAAUUUUAUUCUCGAAGUCGAAAUUUUCAAUGUCUGGGGAAUAGAUUUUAUGGGACCCUUUCCUACUUCUUUUGGAAACCAAUACAUCUUAGUAGCAGUAGACUACGUCUUUAAGUGGGUUGAAGCAGUCGCUAGUCCCACCAAUGAUGCAAAAGUCGUCAUGAAGCUGUUUAAAUCUGUUAUAUUCCCGCGUUUUGGAGUUCCUAGAAUUGUGAUAAGCGACGGAGGAUCGCAUUUCAUCAACAGAAUUUUCGAGAAUCUUCUUAGAAAGAAUGGAGUUACACAUAAAGUUGCUUCUCCAUACCAUCCCCAAACCAGCGGUCAAGUAGAAAUCUCAAACAGAGAAAUCAAGUCGAUUUUGCAGAAAACAACUGCAGUUCAUCGCAAGGAUUGGUCUACCAAGCUUGACGACGCAUUAUGGGCAUAUCGAACAACAUUCAAGACACCAUUAGGAACAACACCAUUCAAUCUAGUUUAUGGAAAAGCAUGUCACCUUCCAGUAGAACUCGAGUAUAAGGCGCAAUGGGCUAUCAAGAAGAUGAACAUGAAUCUGAAAACAGCUGGAGAAAGAAGACUACUUCAACUUCACGAGUUAGAAGAAAUUCGACACAAUGCCUACGAAAACUUGAAGAUCUACAAGGAGAAGACUAAAGCAUAUCAUGAUGAUAAGAUUAUUCAUAGAACUUUUGCUCCUAACGAUAAAGUUCUUCUUUUCAAUUCCCGUCUUAAGCUUUUUCCAGGAAAAUUACGUUCAAGAUGGUCAAGACCCUUCACGAUAAAGGAAGUCAAGCCAUACAGAGCCAUUGUCCUGUGGGACAGAACCGGAAACUCGUUUACAGUGAAUGGACAGCGUGUAAAGCCAUACCUGGCUGAAGAAAGAGAAGACGAAAGAGAAGUGAUGUUUUUGAUUGAUCCAUCAUCGGCCAAUGAUGAGAUCAAGGAGUGUCACGACCCCGGUUAAGUCUAAUCAAGCAACAAUGUCAAGCUAACGACUUGAAACAAGCGCUUAGUGGGAGGCAACCCACUUGGUAUUUUAUAUAUUUCCCUUUGACCUUUACUUUCUAUUUCCAUUGCUUUGUUUCUGUUUCAUUAAAUUUCAGGUUUUCAAUAAGGAAGAACAAACACAAAAGACGAGCAGCACUCUCUAGCACGAUAAGUUCACUUAAACAUUUCAACUUUUUUAUUUUCUUUACCAUCCUUUUCAAGAUUUAUCGCACUGAGGACAGUGUGAAAUAAGUCUGGGGGAGGAUGUUCAUCCGUUACUAAUGAAAUUUGAUUUGUUAUGAGUUUGUUUUGGACACAUUAAAAAAUUUUCAAAACGUUUUUCAAAAUGUUUUUCACAAAAAAAUUUUCACAAAUCGUUUUCAAAAUGUUUUUCAAAAAGUUUUCAAACCAGGAACACAUUAAACAUUACUAUGAUGAUUUAGACCAGUGUGCUUCUACGCUAUUUCCUCGUUUUUUGCUCUUUUUGUGAUUUAGGCCUAGACUAGGCGGUAGCUAAGUACUUGCAUUACGAAAUCCCACCAGGGAACUUCUAUUCAUAGAGAUUCUUUCUGACAGGAUAUACUAGCUCAUUUUAUCUGGACUUAAUUUUGACAUAAUUUUCUCAUUAAAGCAUUAGAUCAGGAAAACGAAUCAUACAUUCAGGACUCCUUUAUCCUUUUACCACUCUUUGUUGAUCCUGAAUGGCUAGUUUAUCUUUAGCUAGUUCCCCACCGAACCUUACCUCUUUCAAACCACAUGCACUCAUACGUCGGAGAGAAAGAGGAUUUACGCGGUUUUCAGUCACUGAAGACGAAGACCUGCGAUUUCAUUGGAAUGAUUCAACAAAAUGAGAAAACUCAGUUUGUCUUGGAAAACUUCAAAAUCUUGGUACAAUUUCGUCCCUUAGACUCUCUCUCUAUAAAAGGUUGUUUCCUCUAAAAUAAAAAAUAAAAAUAAAAAAUCCGAAAAAGAAAAGAAAAAAAAAUGAAUGAAAGGGAGAGGAAAUUUAAAACCUUAGAAAGUCUAGGAGGAUCGAAUUUUAUCCUUGAGGCAAGCUUGAUUCGAUUUAUGGAGUUUUGGAGAUUAUCUUUAUGAUUCCCGAAAAAGAUCUAAGUCUGGGGGAACAACUGUUUACAACAAAGGAGGAAGAUUAUGCAACAACGUUUGGCAAAGGAGAAGUGACUGAAAAUCUGCGGUCAUCAACAGGUCUUUCUCUCUCUUGCGGUUUUGCAUAAUAUUUUGCAUCCUCCAGAUUCUUCAGGUAACCCUAAACAGCAAAGCUCCACCACUUAAAAAGCUCUUAAUACUAAACGCGUCUACCCUGAAUGAUGACUUUAAUGAGAAUUCACUACUAUACUUAAUUAAUGUAGAGAGCUAGUUGACUGGAAGUUAGAUCUAAGUGCGUAGUUUUCGCAUGACGGAUUAACGGACUAGUUUUGUUUGUAUUUUGGUGAGAAUUUUCUAGACUAGAUCCAAAUAGAUGUUUCACGAUAAGUUAUGGUUUAGAAGGACGGUCACUGAGAUAUUGUUUAGUUCCUGCGAUUUUCAAAAUUUCUUUCUAGACUUAAGUUUGUUUGAGGACAAACAAAAAGGUAAGUCUGGGGGAGUUGAUAACACCGUGUUUUGACCACUUUUAUGGAUUAUAAUUGUAUCUUAUGCAGGUGUUUUAAUUAUUUUUUCAAUGGUUUUUAAAGUGUUUUCAAUGUUUUAGAUUUUUAAAAGACUUUACAGGAAACUUGGGCAAAAGAUAUUCAAUUUGGAACAAAUGAGCAAUUUUGGAUAAAUGCAGACCGUCAGAAGUAUGACAAGCGAUGAAGACCUUCUCACCGUCUGAUCACCUCCAAAAUUUGAGACAACAUAGAGGAUCCAACCAGCUUUCUAAUGCUUGGAGACAAUCCAACUGUUAGAUCUUCAGAUACUCCCGAUGCAAGAAUGACUGAAAAUGCAGUUCCGGAAGAAAGCCAUGUGCCGGGACCGCGGCCAACACCUAUUUUCCCGCGGGUAGAGCCACUGCAACCGCGGAACUUGGUCGUUCACUUUCCAGACGACUUAAUUAAAGCCCAGAUCAAUUCCUUUAGGCUAUAAAUACCCUCUUUAGGUCAUUCUAAAGAGAGGAAUGGAAGGAGAGACAAACUUAGAGAGAGAGAUAUAGAGAUUUUCGUGUGAGAAACCCUAGGAGGCCGCCGCCUUUGAAGGAGGAGCCGUCGAGGAGAGCAUCAUCGCGCCUCCAUCUGCGAUUCCGUUCUUCGUUCUUCUUCCUUGUUCUCUUUAAUUUCCUGCACUUUCAAUGCUUUGUUACAAUAUGUUUGAGUAGUUACCCAGUUGGGUUUAAAGGGAUUUUUCAAAGGGAAUUUAUGAAUCGAUAGAUUUAGGAUUAUUAAUCUUCUAGAUGUUCUUCGUUUGCCUUUAAUCUUACUGUGUGAUUCUUUGCUGGCCACUUAGAAGUCGAUCUGACAUGAUAUGUUGCGAAAGCUUUCAUUGAUUGUCUGAUCUAGGGUGAAACGAGGAAUGAUUCUAUAAGAGUGUAAACCUACCUGUAGUUGAGUUGUGAAUAUUGAUGAGUCUUGUUCUGCUAUUGCAUCUUCUCCCUUCCAGGAUCAGAGUGGAAACCUACUGAUCAGGGUUGCGAGAGAUAGUUGUUUAGUGCUGCGAAAGUAGGCUAUUCGUACUUCUGUGCCUCGAGUUGUAGAAUAUACGUAGUUGAUUACCUGUAUCACUUGUUUAAAAUCGACCUAGCAUAGACUAUGAACCCCUGCGAAUUCCCCUUGAUGCCCAACGUUUGUUUCCAUUGUUUACAGUCUUGCUCUUUACUUGCUUUCAUUCGCUUUUGUUUAAUCGAUUUUACCUGCUUUUAUUUGCUUUCGUUUUCAAUUGCUCUUUAGUUUUUACUUGGUUUCUAGUUUAGAUUUAUUGACAACCAAAACCCAAAACCAAAACCAAAACCCUUUUUAGUUCUAGUCUGAUUUAAGCAUUGCCUUGUGAUAGAAUCAUGGAACCGAUGGAAACAAAGGACGAGACACAAGUCGAGGUUCAUGCCGAGGAACAAAACCAAGCUACCGACCCUGAUGAUGUCCUGGUUGUGCCAGCCGGUCCAAUGACCAGGUCACGUACCAAAAUCCUUACGGGAGCGAUCCAGCGUGUGCUUACCGGUCUUAGGAGCCAAUGCCAAGUAACAGACCCAACACCAAAUCACAAGGCCAUGACCAUGAUCAUGUACUCAGGUCCGAACUAGCCUGGUUGGGGUGCUGUUUUAAUACUCUUUUUCCUUGCAUUUGGGUUUGUCCCACUGGGUUUACCGAAUGGGGUUUUAACGAGGUUAAAGCAUCACCCAUCUCACGACCAUGGUUCGUUCGCGGCUGAAGGAGAGUUACUAGUGGCACAGCGAAUGUUGGUUUCACAAGAACCAGUCCGAGAAGAGGAUCAGAGGGAGAAUCUUUUUCACACACGGUGCUUAGUUAUGGGAAAGACCUGCAGCAUGGUCAUCGAUGGAGGGAGUUGCACAAACGUUGCUAGCCAGAGUAUGGGUGAGAAGCUAGGAAUGCAAACCACAAAACAUCCGCAUCCGUACAACCUCCGAUGGCUCAACAAUCACAGGCAGCUCAAGGUCACCAAGCAGGUCACAGUGCCCUUUAAAAUCGGACGAUAUGGAGAUGAAGUGCUAUGUGACGUCCUACCUAUGGAAGCCGGACACAUCUUGUUGGGACGGCCGUGGCAGUACAACCGUAAGGCGGUCCAUGAUGGUUUUUCUAACAAACAUUCGUUUGAACACCAAGGACGGAAGGUCAUCUUGGCACCUUUGUCUCCCCGCGAGGUUUACAUGGAUCAGAUCCAUUUGGAAAGGAGCAAUAAAGAUAAAACCACCUUGAGUGACCCCCUAAACACAUCCAACACCAAAAAUGUGAGUGAGAUUUCGAGUGAACCACCUCAAAAGGCCUUAAUCAACCAACCCGUGAGGAGAGAGACUCUUUUUGUGAGGCCGAGAGAGAUUAAACAGGCCAUGCUUGAGAAGCAGCCUUUUAUUUUGCUCAUGUUCAAAUCCGCUUUGGCUAGCACUUCUAAUCCAGAGCCGGAACUUCCGAGCAAUAUUUCUUGGGUUUUUCAGGAGUAUGCCGAUGUCUUUCCCGAAGACAAUCCAGGAGGGCUACCACCGAUCAGAGGCAUAGAACACCAGAUAGAUCUCGUGCCUGGAGCAUCUCUACCAAACCGACCAGCGUACCGUACUAACCCGACAGAAACCAAGAAGCUACAGCGCCAGGUCAAAGAGUUGAUGGCCAAGGGCUACAUCCGAGAAAGCCUGAGUCCCUGCGCUGUACCUGUACUUCUGGUGCCCAAGAAAGAUGGGACUUGGCGAAUGUGUGUGGACUGCCGAGCCAUAAACAACAUCACGGUAAAGUAUCGCCAUCUCAUCCCGCGCUUAGAUGAUAUGCUAGAUGAACUCUAUGGGUCUAGUGUCUUUACGAAAAUCGAUUUGAAAAGUGGUUACCAUCAGAUCCGAAUGAAGGAGGGAGAUGAGUGGAAGACCGCAUUCAAAACCAAACAUGGUUUAUAUGAAUGGCUGGUCAUGCCGUUCGGUCUAACGAAUGCACCUAGUACUUUUAUGCGGCUAAUGAACCAUGUGCUUAGGUCCUUCAUAGGCGUCUUUGUAGUUGUAUACUUCGACGACAUCCUGAUCUGUAGUAAGAGUCUAGAGGAACAUGUGAACCAUCUAAAACAAGUGUUAGAAGUACUUAGGAAGGAACGUUUGUUCGGGAAUUUUAAAAAGUGCUCUUUUGGUACGGAUAACGUGGUGUUCGUAGGUUUUGUUGUCAGUUCACAGGGUAUACAGGUGGACGAAGAGAGAAUUAAGGCUAUCCGAGACUGGCCAGGCCCCAAGACGGUUGGAUAAGUUCGAAGCUUCCACGGCUUAGCCGGAUUCUAUCACCGAUUUGUCCGAGACUUCAGCACCAUUGCAGCUCCUCUCACAGAAGUCAUCAAGAAAGACGUUGGGUUCAAAUGGGAACAAGCUCAAGAAGAAGUGUUCAAGACACUUAAGCACCGACUUACCCAUGCACCUCUAUUGUCUUUGCCCGACUUUCUCAAGACCUUUGAGAUAGAGUGUGACGCAUCCGGUGUAGGGAUUGGAGCAGUGCUCAUGCAGGAAAAACGUCCAAUCGCUUACUGUAGCGAAAAACUUGGUGGUGCUACGCUCAAUUAUCCGACUUACGACAAGGAGCUCACUGGUUCGGGCCCUACAGACGUGGCAACAUUACUUGUGGCCUAAAGAAUUCGUGAUACACACUGACCACCAAUCAUUGAAGCAUCUCCAAGGGCAGCAAAAAUUGAACAAGCGACAUGCCAGAUGGGUCGAGUUUAUCGAGACGUUUCCUUAUGUGAUCCAGUACAAGCAAGGGAAAGAAAAUGUUGUGGCGGACGCAUUGUCUCAACGAUAUACCCUGAUCACUACGCUUGAUGCCAAAAUACUUGGGUUUGAAAUGAUUAAGGAGGCCUACGCGACCGAUCCUGACUUCCAAGAAGCUUUUCUCGCCAGUUCUAAGUUUGCCCAUGGCAAAUACUACCAGAGUGACGGUUACUUGUUUCAUGAAAAUAAACUAUGUAUACCUAACACUUCUUUGUGGGAUUUGAUUGUCAGGGAGGCACAUGGAGGAGGCUUAAUGGGACAUUUUGGGGUCUGAUAUGUUCAUAAUUUGCAUCAUUUAGGUUGCAUAAAUCAUUCCAAAUCAUGUUUUAUUUCAUGUAUUUUAGGUCCUUAGGGUUUGUUUUAGAACUUAGGAGAUGCAUUAGGUCCCAAUGAGUCUUUGCAUGUUUUGAGUGUCUAUCAGGUGAUUAUGGAGCUGAAAAGAUGAAUCCAGGAGGUGGAAUGGUGAGCAGAGCUUGAAAAAAGUGGAAAACUUGAGUCUAUGGAGGUUAUCGGCCAUUCUCGCUGGCCAGGAAGGUUUUACCGGCCAUUUUCAUGUACCGCGGGAAGCUUUACCGGCCAUUUUCACGUACCGCGAAUUAAGUAUAUCGGCCAAAAUCUCCGGGUGCGAACGAGUCUCAGAAAUCACCUGUCCGGGGAGCCUUCCGGUCCGAUUCAGAUGGCGGGUCCUUCAUAGAAGUUGGAGAGCAUUGAAGCACGGUCUCAUAGCAAUUGGAAUCGUAGAAUUCGGACGCGUGAGCAGAGAGAUAAGCUCGUCGGAAGAAACCCCUGUCUCGCAGGUAUUCCGGACCGAGCAGAUCAGUUCUGAAGGAUGCGAAGGACGGUGCACUUCCAGGCCGAUUCAGCUUCCGGGUCCUUCAUGAGAAUCAGAGACAUUUGAGUCUUCUUUCCAGAACGUCCAAGAGCAUUCAAUUCGGAUCUAUGAGCAGGAAGAUACGGCCUCCGGAAUGGACACAUGUCUAGACGCCUCUCUCUGGUCGUAUACAUGCACUGCAAAGAUGUGCCCUCCAGGAAGCCUUCCGCCUCCCAAGCACUGAAACUUCCUUCACAAAAGUUGGAGAUAAAUGAGUCCUCUGUCUUCUGCAACCGAAAUCAUUCAAUUCGGACAAGUAUCACAGGAGUUACACUCUCCGGAAUGCGAAGUGAUCUAAGCUGCUCUGGAUGCUGCGAGAUGGUCUUGCGACUUGGUUAACCCGCAGGCCUGAAGAUGAACGCCUGAAUGCUGAUGCUGCGAGUUGAAAUGUGCGGGUAAACUAUCACUGGAAGAGGUCUGGAGCUCCCGAGCAAGAGAAAUGCUAAGUCCACAAUCGUGCGACUUAGGCAUGCGAGUCAUCCGUGCCUGGAUCUAUGCCGCACGAUCACUCGGAAUUCACUCCGACUUGAGCCUGCGACCUAAGUGCAAUAGAGACCAACCCGCACAGUUUCUACAUCCCCCAGAAACCGGCUCAGCCCUGCGAGUUGGAGAGGAAGGAGACCAUGCCGCAGAAACACUCGCAAUUUACUCCUAGAUAGGCGUGCGGCUCCGACAAGGCGAUUCAAGCCUCACAAGACAAGUCUUCAUCUACUGCGACUUAGGUGUGCGGCCUGGGACAUACUGAACCGACCCGCAGCUUUUCCCAUUUUAUCCAUUAAAGCCGGGUCAGGACCCGGUUUGUUCCGGGCUGACCCGGUUCGUUUUUAAGAAGGUAUAAAUACUUUUUAGGGUUUUUUGGGGGAGAACUAAGUUUUAUUCCCUUUGUCUCUUGCCUCUUUUGUGAAAAAGACUCCAUUAAGAAGAGAAAUAUCUAUUUUUGAGUGUUGAAUCAAGAGAGUUUUAAGAGAUCUGGGUGUUUAAAGCUGUUUACUUUUGAAUCUAUCAUCUCUAUCUCCAUUUCUCAUCAUUAAUCAUGCUAAUCUUCUCAACUUGCAAAGGUUUAAGAGAGAUUAGUAUGAUUAGUGAGUAAUCCCAUAUUAAGGUCUUAGAUAUGUAGAUUAGGGUGCUUAAGUGGUAGAUUAGCGAGCUUAGGGGUUAGAUCAUGCAUAUUCCAUUCUCUACAACUUGUUCUCUAUGCUAGAUCCAUACAAAUCAUAUGUGGUCUAGAUUCUGGGCAUUUCAUGCACCAAAAGUGUUUGAUGAAAUGCCUGAACCAAAGUUGUUAGAGGUUUAAGUGUUAUUCAUCAUGGGAAUGAUUGUUUAUAUGCUUAAAUGACAGAUUAAACUGAUUCUUAAUGCUUGUUAACUCAUGUUUCACUGAUGAUGAUUGGGUUUGAAACUGAUUUAGCAUAGGAGUUAAUGCCUUCAUGAGAGGAUUAACUUAGUUAGAGAUGUUUAUGUUAAAUGGCUUGCUUGAUCAUAUGAUACAUUAGCUCAUUAGUUUAUCACUGAAGGCACCCUAAUCCACUAUCAUGUCUAAGACCUUUCUUAUCAUCAUUCAUACAUUCUCAUCAUUUGUCAUUGUUUAGUUCUUGUUUAAGCAUUUCAUUAAUCCUUAAUCCUGUUUAAGUUUGUAGUUGUCUCUAGAUUAAUCAAAACCCACUCUUGUUUGCUUGAAUUAAGAACUUGAUCAUAUAGCUUAGUGUCUAACACCACAUCUGGAUUGAUAAACCUCUUUGUGCUACAUUGACAAGGGGAUUGAUAGCCCUGAGACCAUAAAAAGUCUUAUCUAUCAAUUGGCGCCGUUGCCAAAUUGUGGUUUGAUUAGCAUUAAGCUCUGAUCUGUUCUUGAGAUCAAGUGCUUACUUUCUUGUUUUUACUGAUUCCUUUCAAGUUCUGUUUGUGAUUUCAGGUAUAUGAACACCAGGUCUAGAUCAAGAAGCUGCGGUCCUCCUUUUCCUCUAAACGACAACAUCAACCUUCUGGUACCAAGGAGGAGAAGAGACAGACGUGGUAGACAACUUGAUCAGACUGAGAUGGCAGACCAAGGAGAUCACGGGGUAGAUAUGGAACAACCAGUUCAGGAGCAACAAGCUCAAGGUCAGGGAGCUGGUAUUGGAGUUGGUCAGGGGUUUCACCAGGGCAAUGUUCAGCAGGAACAGGUGCACCACCAACAAGCCUAUGUCCACCAGGGACAAGCUCAGGCUCAUCAACAGAGGCAUCAGGCCAAUGUUCAACAAAGACACCAGGUGCACCACCAACCCCACCCUUUCCAACCACAACAAAGAAGAUAUGAGCAACCCCAAAUAUAUGUUGGCGAGAAUGACAGGGCCAAUGCUCAUCAGUAUGGAGCUGGUAUUCAGGCACCACCUGUGCAGAACAACAACUUUGAAGUGAAAGCAUCAUUGCUGAAUAUGGUCCAGAACUCAAAGUUCCAUGGGUUAGCAAUGGAAGAUCCCUUGGAACACUUGGACCAGUUUGAUAAGGUGUGUGAUCUGACCAAGAUUAAUGGAGUUUCAGAAGACAGCUUUAAGCUAAGACUAUUCCCAUUCAGUCUUGGUGACAAAGCUCAUCAAUGGGAGAAGAAUCUUCCAAGAGGCUCCAUUCAAACCUGGGAGCAAUGCAAGCAAGCCUUCUUAUCUAAGUUCUUCUCCACCUCAAGAACUGCAAAACUGAGAAACCAAAUCUCUAGCUUCACUCAGCACAGCAAUGAAAGUUUUGGUGAAGCAUAUGAGAGAUUCAGGAGCUACACAAACCAAUGCCCACACCAUGGGUUUAGUGAGGCUUCUCUUCUCAGCACACUGUAUAGGGGAGCUCUUCCCAAGAUUAGAAACCAGCUGGAUACUGCUUCCAAUGGGAACUUUCUGGGUAAAGAGAUUCAUGCUGCUUUAGAGCUAGUGGAGAACUUAGCAUUGAGCAAUGAUACUUAUGGUGAAGACUAUGACAGAUCAAAUAGGUCUGAAAGUUCAAGCUCAGAACAGAGGCUCACCAGAGAAGUUAAGGAGUUGAGGAGUGAAUUGGACAAGCUGAAAUUCACCACUCAGAAGCCAAUGCAUUUUGUUGGAGAGUAUGAGGAACCUUCUCAAAUUUUUGAGAACAUAAGUGAAGAAGGUCUUACCCAAGAGGAGCUCAACUACAUUGGGAAUCAGAGGUUCCAAAGAUAUCAGUAUGGUAAUGCCAAUCCAAACCUCUCUUACAGGAACACCAAUGUAGCUAACCCACAAGACCAGGUCUAUCCCAAUUCUCAAGCUCCAAAGAACUUUGUUCCCAAGCACAACUUUCAAGGGUCAUUCCAACCCAAGAAUCAAUUUGGUCAGAAUCAGAGUUUUGGUCAGCAACAGCAACCAUUUCAGGGCACUGGUUACACUUCACAGCAGCCAAAGGCACCACCAGGGUUUGGUCCACCACAGUUCCAACAGCAGGCGCCGGUUCAACAACAGUUUCAGCCACCAAUGGUUCAACAGCAGCCACAGAUGGGUACAGAUAUGGUUGGUAUUCUGCAACAACUACUUCAGGGUCAACAGACUAUGCAGCAGGAAAUCAAGGAACUGAAGCAAAACCAAGCAUCAAGCUCAAGGAACCAAGGUCACCUACCUGGAAAACCAGAACCCAACCCCAAGGAAUAUGCCAAGGCCAUAACACUGAGGAGUGGCAAGGAGUUACCUGGUAUUGAGAACAACAAUGUGAUCAUUGAGGACAAUGAUCAACCUGAGGGGGAGGCAGCCUUAAAGGAUGAUCAAGUUGCUGAGAAACCAAGGUCAGAAAAGGGUAAAGAGGUAGCAAAGGAACCAGAACCAGAGAAGAAGUAUGUGCCACCACCUCCAUACCAACCCAAGCUCCCAUUUCCAGGGAGAUUUAAGAAGCAACUAGUGGACAAGGCAAGAGCUGUAUUUGAGAAGGCACUCAAAGAGACACCACUCACAAUGCCUCUCAUUGAUGCAUUCUUAAUGAUGCCAAAGAUGGGGAAGUUUUUGAAGGAUGCUAUUCUGAACAAGACAAAAGAGCUUCAAGGCAUGGUAGUACUAAGUCAUGAAUGCAGUGCUAUCAUUCAGAGGAAGUCCAUUCCAAGGAAGUUAACUGAUCCAGGGAGCUUCACACUCCCCUGUGCCAUUGGACCUCUUCUAUUCUCUGGAUGUCUUUGUGAUUUAGGAGCAUCAGUCAGCUUGAUGCCAUUCUCCAUAGCACAGAAGCUGGGCUUUAGAGUUUUCAAACCUUCAAAGAUUUCUCUUAUCCUUGCAGAUAGAUCAGUUAGAUUGCCUGUUGGUAUGUUGGAAGAUCUACCUGUCAAGAUAGGUGGUUUUGAGGUUCCAACAGAUUUUGUUGUGCUGGAGAUGGAUGAAGAGCCAGUAGAUCCUCUUAUCUUGGGCAGACCAUUCUUAGCCACUGCAGGAGCUAUUAUUGAUGUGAGAGGUGGGAUAAUAGAGCUUCAACUUGGGUCUGAAAAGCUCAAGUUUGAUGUGAAUGAGAUGAUGAAGAAGCCCACCAUUGAAGGUCAAUGUUUCUAUGUAGAGACAAUGGAUCAGUUGGCUGAUGAGUUGCUUGAGGAGCUGAACACUGAGGAUCCUCUUCAAGCUACUCUAACUCAAGAACAAGGAGACAAUGGGCUCUUGGCUGAAGCAAGUGAAGGGUAUAAGCUGUAUCUGGACAAUGCAAGAGAGCUGGGUCCUGAAACAAGGUUUGUGGAGCUGGAACAGAAUGGCACUGAGGUUUUUGCAACCCAAGAAUCAGUCACCAGCCAAAGCAGCUUGGACCAGGACUGGAAUGAGGCUGAUGCACCCUCUGUUGAGCUCAAACCUCUACCAACAGGGCUCAGGUAUGCUUUCUUAGGACUAAACUCCACAUAUCCUGUCAUCAUCAAUGAUAGCCUAUUAGAGGACCAAGAGAGUGCAUUGCUGAAUGAAAUAAGAAAGUUCAGGAGAGCCAUAGGGUAUUCUUUGGCUGAUAUUAGAGGGAUCUCUCCUGACAUCUGCACCCAUAGGAUCCACCUAGAGGACCAAUCUAUGUCCUCUAUUGAGCACCAACGUAGACUUAACCCCAACCUUAGGGAAGUGGUUAAGAAGGAGAUACUAAAGCUUCUUGAGGCAGGGAUAAUUUACCCAAUCUCUGACUCAAGAUGGGUAUCUCCUGUUCAUGUUGUGCCCAAGAAAGGUGGGAUCACAGUGGUGAAAAACGAUAAGGAUGAACUCAUAGCUCAAAGAACCAUAACUGGCCACCGCAUGUGCAUUGACUAUAGGAAAUUGAAUUCUGCUUCUAGAAAAGAUCAUUUUCCUUUACCAUUCAUUGAUCAAAUGCUUGAAAGGUUAGCUAAUCAUCCUUAUUUUUGUUUUCUCGAUGGGUACUCUGGAUUUUUCCAAAUUCCCAUAGAUCCAAGAGAUCAAGAGAAAACAACAUUCACAUGCCCUUAUGGCACUUAUGCUUAUAGGAGAAUGCCUUUCGGUUUAUGUAAUGCACCGGCUACUUUUCAAAGGUGUAUGAUGCACAUUUUCUCUGACAUUAUUGAAGAGAAAGUUGAGGUGUUCAUGGAUGACUUUAGUGUCUAUGGCUCCUCCUUCUCGGAUUGUCUCUCUAAUUUGACACAGGUGUUGGAGAGAUGUGAGCAACACAGCUUGGUGCUGAACUGGGAGAAGUGUCAUUUCAUGGUGCAAGAAGGGAUAGUUCUUGGGCACAAGAUCUCUGAAAAGGGCAUUGAGGUUGAUAAGGCAAAGGUGGAGGUUAUGGUGAAUCUGCAAACCCCCACUUCAGUUAAAGGGAUAAGGAGCUUCCUGGGUCAUGCAGGGUUUUAUAGAAGAUUCAUAAAGGACUUCUCAAGGAUUGCCAGGCCCUUAACAAGACUGUUGUGCAAGGAGGUGGAUUUCAUCUUUGAUGCUGAAUGUGAAGAAGUCUUUAAGUUGAUCAAGGAGGCAUUGGUUAGUGCACCAAUAGUUCAGGCACCAGACUGGUCCCUACCUUUUGAGGUCAUGACAGAUGCUUCUGACUUUGCUGUUGGAGCAGUACUUGGACAAAAGAAAGACAAGAAGUUGCAUGUGAUCUACUAUGCCAGUAGAACACUUGACUCUGCCCAAGAGAAGUAUGCUACAACUGAAAAGGAAAUGCUGGCAAUAGUUUUUGCCUUUGAUAAGUUCAGAAGCUACCUGGUGGGAUCAAAGGUCAUUGUGUAUACUGAUCAUGCAGCCCUCAGGUACUUGAUGACCAAGAAAGAUGCCAAACCAAGGCUGUUGAGAUGGGUUCUAUUGCUCCAAGAGUUUGAUAUGGAGGUGCUUGAUAAAAAGGGGAUUGAGAAUGGUGCUGCAGACCAUCUCUCAAGGCUGAGGAUUGAAGAAAAAGUCCCCAUAGAUGAUGCUUUGCCUGAAGAGUCUCUGAUGGUGCUCCAUUCAUACUUGGAGUUUGAGGAAGUAGAGAGCAUUCAAGAAAGGAGGAUGCCUUGGUUUGCAGAUAUAGUGAACUAUCUUGCAUGUGGGGUGGAGCCCCCUGAAUUGGAUGCUUACAAGAGAAAAAAAUUCUUCAGAGAUGUCCAGAGAUACUAUUGGGAUGAGCCCUACCUCUAUGUUCUGAACAAGGAUCAGUUAUACAGAAGAUGUCUUGCUGAAGAGGAGAUGCAACCUGUGUUGCAGGAAUGUCAUGGUUCUGCUUUUGGAGGUCACAUGGGGGCAUUCAAAACUGUAGCAAAGGUUCUUCAAAGUGGGUUCUGGUGGCCUACAAUGUUCAAAGAUGCCCAAUUGGUGGUUUCAGCUUGUGAUGCCUGUCAGAGGCAUGGAAAUAUAUCUAAAAAAAGUGAGAUGCCUCAGAACCCCAUUCUAGAAGUGGAGAUCUUUGAUUGUUGGGGGAUUGACUUUAUGGGACCUUUUAUUUCAUCCUUUGGAAAUCAAUACAUACUUGUUGCUGUGGACUAUGUGUCCAAAUGGGUUGAGGCCAUUGCUUCCCCUACCAAUGACUCCAAGGUUGUAGUCAAGCUGUUUAAGAGCAUCAUAUUUCCAAGGUUUGGAGUUCCAAGGGUUGUCAUUUCUGAUGGAGGAUCCCACUUUUUGAACAAGACUCUGGAAGGUUUAUUGAGAAAGCAUGGAGUUAAACACAAGAUAGCUACUCCAUAUCAUCCCCAAACUAGUGGCCAAGUGGAGGUAUCUAAUAGACAAAUCAAGGCCAUUCUGGAAAGGACUGUCAGCUCAACCAGAAAAGAUUGGAGCAAAAGGCUGGAUGAUGCAUUAUGGGCUUACAGGACUGCCUUUAAAACUCCAAUUGGAACAUCACCAUUCAGUCUGCUAUAUGGGAAGAGCUGCCACCUUCCUGUGGAGUUGGAGUACAAAGCUAUGUGGGCUGUGAAGUUUCUAAACUUUGAUAUCAAGACAGCUCAGGAGAAAAGAAUCAUGCAACUCCAUGAGCUUGAGGAGAUUAGGCUUGAGGCUUUUGAAAGCUCAAAGAUCUAUAAGGAGAAGACCAAAGUCCUGCAUGACCAAAAGAUUUUAAAGAGAGAGUUCAAGUGUGGUGAUUUGGUCUUGCUUUUCAACUCCAGACUUAAGUUGUUUCCAGGAAAGCUUAAGUCUAGGUGGUCUGGACCUUUCAAAGUUCUUGAAGUGAGGCCUUAUGGUGCCAUUGUCUUGGAAGGGAAAAAUGGUCAGGAAUUUGUGGUGAAUGGACAGAGAGUCAAGCAUUACUUAGUUUCACAAGGGAAAGAGGAAGCUACAUCAGUUCCUCUUCUUGAUCCACCAGCCUGUUAACCAGGUUCUCAAAGUCAAACUUAGAGACUUUAAACAAAGUGCUCUUGGGAGACACCCCAAGCUUAUCUUUGUACAUAGUUCUUCUGAUUUCUUCUCUUUUCUUUUAUGUUUUAGAACUUUCUGAUGGGUUUUGUGAGUUGGUCUCAGGUACUAAGUGAUCUUUGGAGGACAUAGCUCAGUGAUGAAUGGAAAGAAGCAUGUGAGAGAGCUGAGAGAGGUGUUUAAGGCCAGAAAAACGUUUAAGUCCCAAAAGCUGCGGCCUAGGAGUGCGGGUCAGAAGAGAAGAGCCCAGGCCGCAGCAAGGUUCGGAAUUUACUCCGGCCUGGGCGUGCGACCUGGAAAGAGGAUGGCCAGGCCGCACAGAAAGAAGAAGGCCCGAAACGUUUAAGUCCCAUCUACUGCGGGAUGGUUGCGCGGGUCAGAAGAGAGGGAGCUAGGCCGCACGACUAUUCGGAAUUUACUCCGGCCUGGGCGUGCGACCUAGGAGCGUAGACGCUGAGCCGCACCAAAAAGAAGAAGGCCGAGGGUUCUAAGUGUUAAACCGUGCGACCUGGUGCUGCGGCCUGAAACCCAAGGAGUCUAAGUCGCACGAUCGUUCGGAAUUUACUGCGGGAUGGUUAUGCGGCUCAGAAGAACGAUGGCCAGGCCGCACAGAAAGAAGGGAAACCCAAAAUGCCUAAGUCCCAGAAGCUGCGGGAUAGGAGUGCGGGUCAGAAGAAAGAUGGCCAGGCCGCAGAAAGACUCGGAAUUUACUCCGAGAUGGUUGUGCGGGUCAGAGCAGAGGAUGACCAGGCCGCAGCAUGAAGAGAACGGCCAGAAUGCCUAAGUAACAAAAGCUGCGGGAUGGUUGCGCGGGUCAGAGCAGAGGAUGACCAGGCCGCAGCAUGAAGAGAACGGCCAGAAUGCCUAAGUAAAAAAAGCUGCGGGAUGGUUGCGCGGGUCAGAGCAGAGGAUGACCAGGCCGCAGCAUGAAGAGAACGGCCAGAAUGCCUAAGUAACAAAAGCUGCGGGAUGGUUGUGCGGGUCAGAGCAGGGGAUGACCAGGCCGCACGAAAUUUUUUCCGGUUCUACACCGAGACGGUCACACAGCUCGAUCCCGACAGUUCCCGGACGCACAAAAGAGAGAAAGGAGGCCGGUCAAUGAGAAAAGGAUGGGUCAAAGCCUUGACUGGUCAAAAUAGAUCUAUUGACCACCAGUCCAGAGGCUUGACCCUACCCCACACUCUCUCUUCCUCACUACAAACCCGAGUUUGCAACUAUCUCUCACUUUUCUCUCCAUUGUUUUCACCAUAUCUCUCUCAUUUCUCCACCAAAAUUGUUGAUUCAAAGUGCUCUGAGCUCGUUUUUGAGUUGUUAACAUCAUCCUGAUUGCAUUUCGAACUUGUUGCAUCUUAAUCCCAAGGUAUUUCGCCCUGUUGAAACUCAUCUCUUUCCAUGUUCUUCAAUGGUGAUUUUUUGAACUUUAAAGUGUGGAAUCGAUUUUGAUAGGUUGUUUUAGACCUUGGGAUUAUUUUUAUAAAUGCUAGGGUGCUAGAUAGUCUUGGAAAACAGAGCACUUUGUUUGUAAUUACCUGUUCUUGAAUUUUGAAAAUUGUUGCAACAAUUUUUUUCAAAAUUUUGAGACUUUUGUGAGGUUCAUCCUUGUACUAACAAUAUUUUUGAGAAUCUCUUGGCAGAUGACUGAAAGAACCAACUCUUUGGCCAAGAAGAAGGGCCCUGCAUCAAAAGGCAAAGGUUUGGUCUCAGGAACUUCAAAGCCAAGAAACAAAGGUCAAGGUGCAAAGAAUACUACAAAGCAAGGAAAGUGUGAUCCAGCGCCAAAAAGGACAAGGCCUGAAGGAAGAGCUUUGGUGGUUGCUUCUGGUUCCAAGAAAAAGGGGAAACAGUUGGCUGUGGUAUCUGAGAGUGAACAGACUGAAAGUGACUCCGGCAGCUCAGCUGGUGGUUCCCAAGGCACCAAUGAAGAGGGAUCAAAAAAGUUCAAGAAAACUGAACCAGAAACACCUGAUUAUCUGGCUAAGUUUCAGCAGAUAGAGAUCCAGCAAGGGAGAUUCCCUGAUUUGGACUUUCUGAAGAAGAUUGGCCUCUAUGAAGAUGUCAAGACUUUGCUUGGGAACAUGGGUGUUGAGUCACUUUUGGAGAUGAGAGAAAUCGCUUAUGAGCAAGAGUCCCAAGAGUUCUUGGCCUCCUUUGAAGCUUUCAUUUACUACCCAAGGGAUUCAAGAAUCAUUCAAGGAGAUGGGCUUGGACAUGUGGAGUUUACUGUGAAAGGGAAGGAAUAUUCAGUGUCAUUCAGAGAAUUGAGUAAGAUCUUUGGGUUUUCAACACCUAGAAAUGAAUUUCUCUCCAACUCGGUCAAUCUCAGAAAAGAUGAGAUCCAACUUCUAUGGAGAUCAAUUGCUUCUGGGAAGUACACAGCUGGAACAGCUAAGGCCUCUUGGAUAAGGAAUCCAGUUCUGAGAUAUGUACACAAGAUUCUCUCUCACAGCUUCUACUUCAAGAUUGAUGUUGGAAGAGUUCACAAAGGAGAUCUGCUGCUUCUAGGUGUAGGGCUGAGGCCGCUGAUGCCAACACAUGAAGAUGGGGAACCCUAUGUAGGGUAUGAAUACCCACUUUGCCUUGCAUCUCAAUUAGCAAGGUCUUUGAUGUUCUACAAAAAGUGCAUGUGGGAUUCUACAAACAAAGAUGCAAAGCUGACCCAUGGAUGGGUGGUAACAAAGAUCUUGAAAGCCAUGGGGUAUAGAUUCAAGGAGAACAAGGCAAAGUUUGAUCUGAUUAAUGAAGCACAUUUGUGUAGGAUUGGCUUUCUCCAAGGAAGAGUGGGUACCAAGGCAGUCUACAACUUCAAGACACUCAUCAGUGAGCCAGCCCAAGUUCUCCUACCCAAUCCCUCCAUCACCACAGUCCAAGUUAAAAGGAACAUUCACUUCUUCUUGCUGAAGGAAGAGCUGUACAAUGUCCAAACUGAUCCACCAAUCCUCACAUACAGGCAAGCUUGCAGAGAAGAAGCCUCCAAGGGAAAGAAAGCAACCGCUGAAGAUGCUACCACAAGUGCAGCUGGUGCUCACGAUGCUGAUCUGCCUCCACCUCAAAAACGUUUUGGUGGAAACAGAUAUCACUUUGAUGAUUACAACUGGGAGGAACCAGGCACUUCAGGGUUCAGAGCUCAACAGAAGAUUGGUAUUCUCCAACAAUGGUGCAAGUACCAAGACAAAACCAUCCACAAGAUGGCCAAGUGCAUCAAGGAGAUGAAGAAGAGGAUCAAGAAGCUUGAAAACCCUUGCAAAGGUGGGGCUCCAGCACCAGUUUCACCAAGGAACAGAGAGGAAGUUGGGGAGAGUUCCAUGAACUGCACAGCCUUGGUCGCAUAUGGAACCACUUGGGUAGAUCUUGACGACGGGAGUGAUGAAGCCAGCCACCAUUCUUGGGAAACACCGUCAGGCCACACAUCGAACCCCUCCUACUCAUUGGGGUCUGAUUUCAACAGCCACUAGGUAACACUCAAAACCUUGUAAAUAGCAUGUAGACUUUCUUUUCCUUUUGCAUUUUGCUUGUUUGCUUUGGUUUCACUUCUUUCUCAUACUUUUAUAACACAAGGGACUGUGUUAUUUAAGUGUGGGGGAGGAGUUUCAUCCUUUACUAACCAUGUUUUCUAUUUUCUCACUUUACACUUUGAGUCUUGAGUCACAUUCUAGUUGCAUAGUCAUCUAAGUGCAUAUAAAAACCAAAAAAAUGGAAAAAUCUGAAAAAUUUUCACAAAAAAAUGAUCAUGCAUUUGCAUAUAGGUUGCAUCUUGCAAGGAGUAAUGAUAGGUUUUCUAGAGAGUACAUCACUUUGAGAACUUGAAUUGAAUAUGCUUGUGAAUCUUUUUCUAUGCUUGCAAAGUCUGAAAUCUUUUUCUAUGCUUGCAAAGUCUGAAAUGAUUUGAAUCUGAGAAGCAAGUUUGAAUUAAACUCAACUUGAAAAUAUCUUGUGAUGCAUUGUUUGAAAAAGCUUGUGGAUACCAAUAUACAUACUUGAGCUAGAACCACUGUUUUUACCACUCUUUUCCUUAGCUCAAGUAGCUGAAUCCACAUCAUGGAUCAGUUCCCACACCUUGAACCCAUCCUUCUUUUAAGCCAAUGUUUGUGUGUGAAUUGAAAGGCCACCUUGGAUCAAACUUAGCAGAAAAUGUUAGGUUUAGAGCGACAAGGGCAGGUCUCAUUGAGUGCUGUGUUCCAACAUCAAGGAACUGAGAGUUUUGGCGAGGAAUAAGUGUGGGGGAAAAGACUUUUUGGUGAGUGGAAAAAGGUGAGAUGAGUGGAAAGAGAGAGUGAAAAUAACUAGGGGAAUGAAAGAAAAAGAAGUCAGUCUUGGUGUUUUGAGAAAGUGAGCUCUGGUUUGUUGAAAAGAAAAAUCUAGCCUCUAAGUGAAAAAGAAAGAAAAGAAGCCAAAAGCUCAAAUGUUUUGAUAAGAAAGAAAGAAGAGGCUAGAAGUUGUAAAAGAAAAAGAGCUGUGUAAAGUUUGAGUUCCAAGACUUGAGAGUGAAAGUGAAGAACAAAUCCCCUAGUGAGAGAAAAAUGAGUGUGAAAAGUGAGGUCUUUGAGCAAGAGAGGAAGCUUUGAGUAGAGGGUGGGGAGUGAUGAGUCUUUGCCCUUGUAUGCAUAGGUUGCUUUUUACCUUUAGCAUUCUGCCAAAGUUUGAUCAUUCAUAGAGAGAUCCCUUUGCUGCAUUUAACCCACUUGAACACUGAUGAGAUCAUUUUAAUCUCAUAGCCUCUCCCUAGCCAAGCCAGCUUGUUUAAACCUUGCAUCAUGAGAUCCACCUGAUAAAAGCUUAAUGAAUGUGAAAGAGUUGAGAGAGAGAAGAACUUGUGGAGAUUCCUUGCUGAGUUGACAUAUAUCUGAGUAUGGCUUUGCAUUGCAUAAUUGAGCAUGAACUUGAAUUCUCAUUGUGAUCACUUCUCUCAAAAAGAAAAUGUGAACUCCCAUUGCAUACAACCUCUUUCUCUCAUUUGCUCUUUUUGCUUGAGGACAAGCAAAGAACAAGUGUGGGGGAGUUGAUAUGUUCAUAAUUUGCAUCAUUUAGGUUGCAUAAAUCAUUCCAAAUCAUGUUUUAUUUCAUGUAUUUUAGGUCCUUAGGGUUUGUUUUAGAACUUAGGAGAUGCAUUAGGUCCCAAUGAGUCUUUGCAUGUUUUGAGUGUCUAUCAGGUGAUUAUGGAGCUGAAAAGAUGAAUCCAGGAGGUGGAAUGGUGAGCAGAGCUUGAAAAAAGUGGAAAACUUGAGUCUAUGGAGGUUAUCGGCCAUUCUCGCUGGCCAGGAAGGUUUUACCGGCCAUUUUCAUGUACCGCGGGAAGCUUUACCGGCCAUUUUCACGUACCGCGAAUUAAGUAUAUCGGCCAAAAUCUCCGGGUGCGAACGAGUCUCAGAAAUCACCUGUCCGGGGAGCCUUCCGGUCCGAUUCAGAUGGCGGGUCCUUCAUAGAAGUUGGAGAGCAUUGAAGCACGGUCUCAUAGCAAUUGGAAUCGUAGAAUUCGGACGCGUGAGCAGAGAGAUAAGCUCGUCGGAAGAAACCCCUGUCUCGCAGGUAUUCCGGACCGAGCAGAUCAGUUCUGAAGGAUGCGAAGGACGGUGCACUUCCAGGCCGAUUCAGCUUCCGGGUCCUUCAUGAGAAUCAGAGACAUUUGAGUCUUCUUUCCAGAACGUCCAAGAGCAUUCAAUUCGGAUCUAUGAGCAGGAAGAUACGGCCUCCGGAAUGGACACAUGUCUAGACGCCUCUCUCUGGUCGUAUACAUGCACUGCAAAGAUGUGCCCUCCAGGAAGCCUUCCACCUCCCAAGCACUGAAACUUCCUUCACAAAAGUUGGAGAUAAAUGAGUCCUCUGUCUUCUGCAACCGAAAUCAUUCAAUUCGGACAAGUAUCACAGGAGUUACACUCUCCGGAAUGCAAAGUGAUCUAAGCUGCUCUGGAUGCUGCGAGAUGGUCUUGCGACUUGGUUAACCCGCAGGCCUGAAGAUGAACGCCUGAAUGCUGAUGCUGCGAGUUGAAAUGUGCGGGUAAACUAUCACUGGAAGAGGUCUGGAGCUCCCGAGCAAGAGAAAUGCUAAGUCCACAAUCGUGCGACUUAGGCAUGCGAGUCAUCCGUGCCUGGAUCUAUGCCGCACGAUCACUCGGAAUUCACUCCGACUUGAGCCUGCGACCUAAGUGCAAUAGAGACCAACCCGCACAGUUUCUACAUCCCCCAGAAACCGGCUCAGCCCUGCGAGUUGGAGAGGAAGGAGACCAUGCCGCAGAAACACUCGCAAUUUACUCCUAGAUAGGCGUGCGGCUCCGACAAGGUGAUUCAAGCCUCACAAGACAAGUCUUCAUCUACUGCGACUUAGGUGUGCGGCCUGGGACAUACUGAACCGACCCGCAGCUUUUCCCACUUUAUCCAUUAAAGCCGGGUCAGGACCCGGUUUGUUCCGGGCUGACCCGGUUCGUUUUUAAGAAGGUAUAAAUACUUUUUAGGGUUUUUUGGGGGAGAACUAAGUUUUAUUCCCUUUGUCUCUUGCCUCUUUUGUGAAAAAGACUCCAUUAAGAAGAGAAAUAUCUAUUUUUGAGUGUUGAAUCAAGAGAGUUUUAAGAGAUCUGGGUGUUUAAAGCUGUUUACUUUUGAAUCUAUCAUCUCUAUCUCCAUUUCUCAUCAUUAAUCAUGCUAAUCUUCUCAACUUGCAAAGGUUUAAGAGAGAUUAGUAUGAUUAGUGAGUAAUCCCAUAUUAAGGUCUUAGAUAUGUAGAUUAGGGUGCUUAAGUGGUAGAUUAGCGAGCUUAGGGGUUAGAUCAUGCAUAUUCCAUUCUCUACAACUUGUUCUCUAUGCUAGAUCCAUACAAAUCAUAUGUGGUCUAGAUUCUGGGCAUUUCAUGCACCAAAAGUGUUUGAUGAAAUGCCUGAACCAAAGUUGUUAGAGGUUUAAGUGUUAUUCAUCAUGGGAAUGAUUGUUUAUAUGCUUAAAUGACAGAUUAAACUGAUUCUUAAUGCUUGUUAACUCAUGUUUCACUGAUGAUGAUUGGGUUUGGAACUGAUUUAGCAUAGGAGUUAAUGCCUUCAUGAGAGGAUUAACUUAGUUAGAGAUGUUUAUGUUAAAUGGCUUGCUUGAUCAUAUGAUACAUUAGCUCAUUAGUUUCACUGAAGGCACCCUAAUCCACUAUCAUGUCUAAGACCUUUCUUAUCAUCAUUCAUACAUUCUCAUCAUUUGUCAUUGUUUAGUUCUUGUUUAAGCAUUUCAUUAAUCCUUAAUCCUGUUUAAGUUUGUAGUUGUCUCUAGAUUAAUCAAAACCCACUCUUGUUUGCUUGAAUUAAGAACUUGAUCAUAUAGCUUAGUGUCUAACACCACAUCUGGAUUGAUAAACCUCUUUGUGCUACAUUGACAAGGGGAUUGAUAGCCCUGAGACCAUAAAAAGUCUUAUCUAUCAGGGUCCUUAAAACGCUAAGUGUGGUCCAAGACCAUUUCUACUGGCCACAUCUCAGAAAGGAAGUAGAACGGAUUUGCCAUAGGUGCACGGUAUGUAAGCUUGCCAAAGCCCGCAGCCAAGGCGCAGGUAUGUAUACUCCGUUAACCAUUCCAACCGAGCCAUGGACCGACAUCUCAAUGGACUUUGUCCUCGGGUUGCCUAGAACCCGCCGAGGUAAGGAUUCUAUCUUUGUCAUAGUCGAUCGGUUUUCUAAAAUGGCCCACUUUGUUCCAUGCCAUAAAACUGACGAUGCCUCAAACGUAGCUGAUCUGUUCUUUAGAGAAAUCGUUCGCUUGCAUGGAGUCCCUAGAACUAUCGGGUCCGACAGAGAUACUAAGUUCCUAAGUUAUUUCUGGAAGACUCUUUGGGCUAAGCUAGGAACCAAACUAUGUUUUUCCACAACUUGUCACCCUCCGACCGACGGUCAAACAGAAAAGGUCAAUAGGACCUUGUCAGCUCUUUUACGAUCGGUUAUUAAAAAGAACCUUAGGACUUGGGAGGAUUGUCUACCUCAUGUUGAGUUUGCUUAUAACCGUGCUAUUCACUCUACCACUCUGUUCUCACCAUUUCAGUUAGUCUAUGGUUUUAAUCCUCUUACGCCCUUGGAUAUAACCCCUUUACCAUUGAAUGAGCGUGAAAGCAUGGAUGGGAAAAAGAGAGCGGACUUGGUGAAGAAGAUGCACGAAAAAGCAAGACAAAACAUCGAAAGGAAAACAGAGCAAUUCCAGAAAUACGCCAACAAAGGAAAGACCAAAAAGGUGUUUGAGCCCGGAGAUCAAGUGUGGAUCUACCUAAGGAAAGAGAGGUUUCCGGAAGAAAGAAAGUCUAAACUUAUGCCGAGAGUGGACGGACCAUUCACUAUUCUGGAGCGGAUUAACAACAACUCUUACAAGAUCGAUCUCCAAGGUAAGUAUUCCGUCAGUUCUAGUUUUAAUAUUUCUGAUAUCAUUCCUUUUCAUGCAGAUGAAGCAGACUUGAGGACAAGUCCUUUUCAAGAGGGGGGGGGAUAAUAGAAUCAUGGAACCGAUGGAAACAAAGGACGAGACACAAGUCGAGGUUCAGGCCGAGGAACAAGACCAAGCUAUCGACCCUGAUGAUGUCCUGGUCGUGCCAGCCGGUCCAAUGACCAGGUCACGUACCAAAAUGCUUACGGGAGCGAUCCAGCGUGUGCUUACCGGUCUUAGGAGCCAAAGCCAAGUAACAGACCCAACACCAAAUCACAAGGCCAUGACCAUAAUAAUGUACUCAGGUCCGAACUAGCCUGGUUGGGGUGCUGUUUUAAUACUCUUUUUCCUUGCAUUCGGGUUUGUCCCACUGGGUUUACCGAAUGGGGUUUUAACGAGGUUAAAGCAUCACCCAUCUCACGAACAUGGUUCGUUCGCGUCUUGAUACAACGUUUAGAAGUUCAAGAGUUAUUGAGAGGAUGCGAAGGGUCAUUCAGGAAGUCUGAUCGUUAUUCAACGUUUUUCGUUUUCAUUUAAUUUCUUUUAUUUCCCUAUGUAUGACAGAUGGUCUUCUUAUGCCUCUAUAUAAAGGCAUCGUUGUACUCAGACUGAAAUCAUCACUUUUCUCUUAAUAAAAUUUUCCUUUGAGUUUUCUCUUUGUUCUUGGUGAACUUUUCGAUAUUUGGUGGUUAGCCAUUUGAUCGUUCUGGUUUAUCAAGUAGUUUACAUCCUGCUUGACGCAGCCUUCGUUUACAAAGAGUGAGAGAGAGUUCGUAGUCAUAGCCGGGGCUUGGGGAUUUUCGGGACUUGUCUCACAUCCUAACAUCCAAUAUCGCGACCUUGUUCCUCUUUGUUCCAUCCCCUCGUUUUCGUUCUUUCUCAGAAAUUGGGCCUAAGGAUAUUCGGGUUUACGCCCACGCCUUAGCAUCUCUUUCUCUGAAACGAUCCGGAAUCAAGGAUCUAUCAACCGCCACCGAGCCAAGUGUGUGACAAUUCUAGGACGGUUCUUAUCACCAUGAAUUCGUACUGAAACAACUAAGUCUCUGUGGAUCGAUACCCUAAGUACUACAGCGCACAUCUGUGCACUUGCAGAAAUUUGGGGGUUAUAAAUUUAAAAUCUGAAGCUUAGUAGAACGAACCAAUACCCCGUUUACAAACCACAAUCAGUCAUGCACCUCAGCUGGGAUACGAAGGUCGUCAGGGUCGGGCACUGGUAGGAUUUUGCCACUAACUGUUGCACUCCAAAUUGAUUUCUUAAGAAUUGGAUCAACCAAACUGCUGUACUCCACUUGACGAAGCCUAGCCGCGGCCAUUGCAUGUCGGCAAGGGUAUUUCAAUAUCUGAAACUCUAGACAUGAGCAUUUUUUGUUUAGAAGAUCUACAUGCCACCGUUGAUAACACCGGAUUUUGACCAUUUUUAUGGAUCACUUUAAUGUCUUUUACAGGUGUUUUUACUCCAUUUUCAAAGGUUUUCAAAGGAUUUCUAUGUUUUCGGAUUUUAAAAGACUUUUCAGGUAAUUUGGGAUAAAGAGGCACAAAAUGGAACAAAAAGACUCUUUUGGAUAAAUGCAGACCGUCAGAACUCUCAUGGAGAGACGAAGACCUUCUCACUGUCUGAUCACCCUCAAAAUUGGACAACUUAUAGAAGAAUCAACCAGCUUUCAAAUGCACUUGGUCUGGAGACAUUCCAACGGUUGGAUCUCAAGAUAUUCCAUCAGCCCCGGAGCCACUCAAAGAUGGCCAGCAAAUCACGCGACCGCGGCCACCAGCCCAUUCCCCGCGGUCACAAGCUUCCCGACCGGGGCCAACCACCUAUUUCCCGCGGUCACGUUACUCCCGACCUCGGUCGGCCAACUCCGAAUUAAAGCCCAUAUUUCUGAAGCCCAAAGUCAUUUCUCAGCCUCAAUUCCGGAACCCUAGAGACCAUGGAGUAUUGAAGACUAUAAAUACUUGUCAUUUAGGUCGUUUUUAGAGACCACCUUCAUACUUUUACAGAAACCCUUUUCUUUUGGCCGUUUUAUGCGAUUUUUAUAGAAGAUUGUUCAAGUCUGAGUUCUUCAAUAGAGAAGCUUUCUUUCAUCUCUUUUCUUUACUGUUUUUGAUUGCUUUUAUUAAAACCAAUGAUGAUGUCGACCUCAGCCAUGUCUGAGUAGAUCCCGAGUUGGGCUUAGGGUUCCCGAAAGGGGCUCUCAUAUUCGAUUAAGACAUCUAGGUUUAUAGAUCUGGGAUUUUAACUUUAUUCUCUGUUUAUUCUCGUUCUUAUUGCAUGUAUGCCUGAUUGAUCACCUAGUAUCUGAUCUAGAUAGUUAGUGUUGCGAAAGUUUUCAUUAAGUAUCAGACCUAGAAUGAAACAGGCAAUUUUUCCGUAGGAGUGGAAACCUACCUGCGGCGAGAUCGUGAGUAUUGAUGAGUCUUGUGCAGCUCUUGCGUUCUCUCCCUUCCAGGGCCAGAGUGGAAACCUACUGGUCAGGGUUGCGAGAAACAGUUGGUUAUGAUCACGACAAUGACGUAGUCAUACCGCCGUACUCUAGCUCUAGAACCCUAUAUUUCGAUAUCCGUCAAUCCCAAUCUAUCAUCCCUAGUGUUAAAACCGAUUAUGAUCCCUGUAGAGUUCCCGAAAGCUCAGCGUUUUUAGCCAUAGUUUACAAACCAAUCGAUUUUUACUUGCUUAUUUAGAUCUGCAUUUCAAUAGCUUUAGUUCGAUAUUUUGCUUGCUUUAUUUGCUUUCCAUUCGAUUUUUCUACUUGCUCUUUAGGAUAGAUUUAUUUGCUUUCUUUCGUUUUAGUUUAAUCUGUGACACACAACCAACCUCUGAAACCAAUCUAGUCUAGAAAUAAAGUUAGAAACCGUAGAAGAAUACCAGACACACAAAUCUCUGUGGAUUCGAUCCCUAAAUACUACAACUGAUUAGCUGUGCACUUGCGGCUUUCAUUUGUUUUUGCUAAGGGUAAAACUUGUUCCCUCACGCAGUUGACACGCAUCAGCCGUACACCUAUGAACUCAGAACUGACUUCAACCUCCCACGCAGAAAUGCCUUGAACCGAUAGUGCAGCAGAUUUUUCAAGCUGCAGGUUCAUUAACUUGUCAACUUCUUCUGGAAUGUCACCAUCCAUCUUUUGAAUUUUAUCUCUUCUGCAUUCAAGCCACCUACUUAACAUUCGCAUGAUAAAUUCUAGCAUUGCAACGAUUGGACUGUCUCUUGCUGCAAAUAGUGCAUUGUUCAGAGACUCCGCAAUGUUACUGGAGGUCAUAUUAUACCUCUGACCAGAAAAGUGUGAUCUAGUCCACAGCGGAAGAGGGAUUUUUUCCAUGUACUCCCAACAACGAUAGUCAACAUCCUUCAGCCUUGCGUAUAGUCUCUUGAAGUUAGAAACUGUGAACGCUUCUCCAGCCUUUUCAACCAAACCUUUCUGACCGGAACCUUUGUAUUUACUGUGAACAGUUCUCUGGAUAUGGACAAGACAUGCACCGUAUGUGCCUGUGGAUACCAUUUCUUUUUAGCUUUGGCAAUUCCACCGUGCCUAUCCGAGAUAAUAGAAAGAUCAGAGGAAUCUGGAAUAAUGUCUACCAACUUCUCAAAGAACCACCUCCAUGUCUGGUAAGACUCUGCAUUGACAACGGCGAACGCUAUUGGAAAAACCUGGUAAUUAAAAUCUUGUCCACUGGCCGUUAAUAGACAACCCUGAUACUUACCAAUAAGGGGAGUUCCAUCAACAACAACUACCGGUUUCAAAUGUUUCCAUCCAGAUAUACACGCAGCCAAUGCCACAAAUACGAACUUAAACCUUGUCAUACAUUUUCCAUCUUUUUCAUCUCUCUCAGUUGACAAAUGCGUUAUGGUGCCGGGGUUAGCAUACUUGAGCACAUGGAGGUAAAUCGGUAAUAAUUUGAAAGAAGUUUCCUCUGUUCCGUGAGCAGAGUAUAUAGCCAGCUCCUUAGCUUUCCAGCAUUUCCAGUACGAGGCUGUAAUAUUAUAUUCGGACAGAACAAUUGCAGGUAGUUCACUCGCACGUGGACCAACUAUUGCCUUCUCGUACUUAGACUUCAGCAGAGCCGCCAUGACUUUAGAAGUCGCAUGCUUAGAAAUUUUUUUUCUUGUAUCCGGGUGGCAUGUAUGCUUCAAGCACGCCUUCCAAUCACAUAUCUUUGCUGGACAUUCGGCGACUGUGUACUUCUUCGCAUGCCUUUUGAAUUCGAACGUCACUACAUUCUUCAGCGCAUUGAUGGCCAACGUGACUUUAAAGUGUUCCUUGUUCCUGAACUUUUUCCCAACCCAUAUCUCUCCAUCUUCAUUUGACAAAUCAAGUUCAACAAAAUCCCCUUCCAUAUCAUCAGAGACUGGUGCCACAUCUGGAAAUCCAUAUAGUUCUGUACGUUUAAUCGCUUUCUUCAGUUCUGCACCGCCAUUCUGACGCCCCCAAAUGACAUCACCUGUCAGAGUCUCCACAAAAUCAUCAUCAUCUCCAUGGGGAGCCAGAACCUUCUCACAUACAGUCCUCUUUCUUCCUGGAAAAUGAAUAGGACUCUCCGUUAGGACAUUUGAGUAGUCCAUAUGGUUUGAAUCACUCGGCUCACUUCCCCGACUACUUCCACAACCCCCUGAACUACCAGAGUCAUUCCUUAUCCUCAUCAAAUCCAGGUUUAGAAUGGAAACCCUUACCAUCUGCUAGUACGUAAUCAUUCCACCAGUCAAAAUCAUAAUCCGGAUCAUAAUCAUCAUCAGAGCCAUAUACGUCAUCGUCAACAUCAUCAGCUUCCUUCUCUUCCAAAUCUCUCGCCUCGUCUGAUUCCUGGGACAUUUUUAAUUCCAACUCUGGGUGGUCAACAGAGACAGCGUUACUUGGAACAUCAGGUUUUACAUUAACGGAGGUGUUAGUGGUGGCCUUAGCCUCUACUUUCUCUGAUUCCUGGGACAUUUUUAAUCCCAACACAGGAUGGUUUACAGAGACAACUUCAGGUUGUACACCUUUGGAGGUGUUCAUUGCGGCCUCUGCCUCUACUUUCUCGACAUGUGCUAUCAGCAAACAAUCAUCGAUAUCUUCAUCAUCUGCUUCAUCAUCGGGUUGACUAGACACUGCCAAAGAAGAGGCUAAGAAGUUUGUUGGCCCUAAGGACUUUUGCCGUUCCCUAGCAAUUUCAACUUCAAGACUUUCCUUUUGUUUCAAUCUCACCAUUUCACCAUUUACUGACUCCUUGAAUGUGACAAAUAAAUUCACAGACUUAUCAGACUUAUGCAGCGAACGGAAGAAUUUGUACUCUCGAGAAGUAACUAUCAUACAUGGACAAAUCCCAUCACCAUUAAGCUCAGCUAGAACAUCAUCAAACCAGUAGGAAAUCUCCACCGAAACAACUCUCGGGUCUAAUCCAAACUCAUGCGCAAUCAGAUUUCUCAAAUCAUCUGGUCCGGACACAUCUUUGCAAUUUAUGCACCUUCCACGACGAGAUAUGUCCAUUUUGAAAUCCCAAUCUCUUGUAUAGUACCUUAUCCACGUUCCCGCCAUAACAAGAAUGAACACAUCCACUGCAAAUCGCGAACACCAUAUCUAAAAAAAUACUGGCAAAUAGCGAACACCAGAACAAAAAAUUCGAAAAUAACUAUGACAAAUCUACGGGUGUACAAUAAUAGGAUUAAGUAACUAACCGUGGUUGUUGUCCUCUUGAUCAUCGCAUAAUUUCCCCUUCAAUUUCAACAUCUUCUCGAAAGGGAAACUAGGGUUUCUAAUUUGGUUAGGGUAUUUUGUUUCUUAUUUUCACUCAAUUUAUCUCCAUUAUCUCUAAUUAACCACAAUUUUUCCCGCCAAAAUAAAAGAGAAUGGGAAGGGUAGUUUUGCCUCUAAUGAGUUGGGUAAUUGUGCCAUUGUUUCCGGCCCAUAACCAAAGCCCAGUAUGCUAAGGUGGUUUUUUGGAAAUUUCAUUCCGAAAUUCGGAAUCAGGCCCAAAAAACGAUCCAAUCACGCGCGUGAGUUUCUCUCUUCUCGGCUGCUACGCACGCGGACACACACUACUCCUGGGACCCACGGUAUUAUCUGCGUCUGUAUCUCUCUAAGAGACAGACUUCUCUCUCUCUCUCUCUCUCUCUCUCUCUCUCUCAGAAACAAGGGUAAGUUUGACAUUAUGAAAGUAUGUCCCUACCCUGACUAAUUAAAACUCAAAACUACCCAUUCCUCAAAUUAAAACUUAAAAACUACCAUAUUUUCAAAUCUACCCUUUCCUAAAAUGUUCACCCCUCCUUUCCCUUUCAGAUGUUGUUAAGAGAUUAUUUUGGCGUUUAGUGCAAGUCAAAUUUCCCAGUAGGGUUUCUCCGAUUUAGGGUGUCUCAAUUUGGUAUCACAGCCUAGGUUAAAGGCCACUCCGGCUGUCCCAGAAGGUUAGUAGUUUUUGCUCGGAUCCUUAGUUGUGUAAAAAAUUAGAUGGGUUCUAAUCUAAGAUCAUUCUAUUUUUAUCAAGUAUAGAGAUGGAUCAACAAUCGAAUUUGCGAGAGAGUUUUCAAAUGAAGAUCCUGAGUCCAUCAUUAUGCCAGAGCUUAUAGACGCAACAAGGAAUUCUAGAGAGUAAAGUGAAUGAUCGUUGUUAGUAUUUGAGCAUGACGAGGUCGUUGUCCUUGGGAUGUCACUAUCAGAGAUCAAAAAGAAAGACGCUCCAUGGUAUAGUCGAUAACCAAGUAGAGAAGAACGAAUCUGCAAAUUCUAGGAAAUUUUAUUUGAAAUGGAGGAGUUUGUAACAUCCGAAGAAUAGUGUUUUGGCCCAAUUUUUUUGUUUCAACCCGAUUAGUCAAAGCCUAUCAGAAAAACUCUCAAACCCAACUUCCUUAUUUACCUCUCUAUAACCCUAAAUCUAGAAGUCUCUCCUCUAAACUCUAUAAAUAGAGGAUUCAUAACUUAGAAGAAAUCAUAGAGCUAUCUUGUGGCGAAGCACCUUGAAGGAGAAGCCACUGUAGCCAUCUAGGAGGCAAAUCUGACCUGUUCUGCCUUAAGAGAGAAACAGAUAGGCUAAUUGGAAUGGAUCGGCCUGAAAAUUGGUAUGCAUUUUUUUCAACUCUCAGAUCUAGCUAUAGCAGGUAGCAGAUCUUCAUUUGGAGUUUUAGUUUGAAAGUUAUGUACGUUUUCCCGAAGCAGAUCUGCAGAGAUCAGACUCACGAGAAGCCAACUUCGGAAGCGUUUUACCGGCGAUCUAGAAAGUUCCAGAAAGCGACCUACAUACAGCUGUGAAGCCUGUGAACCCAAAAUUCCAUAUCAACCUAUAGAUUUACAUCCCAACGUAUGUCCAUUGAGUUGUGCCUGUUUCUUUCCAUCGAAGUCUUCAUCCUUCCAAAACCCUAAUUUUAUUUUGAGGAAGUUUCCUUUUCCAAGAAUUUCCAGUUAUAGAAAGUCUAAUUAUGGCACGUUUAUUUAUAGUAAGUCUGUUUAUGGAAACUUUCUUUUCUAAUCGCAGUUUCCCGAAAAGUCGUUUCUCCAAUCGCCAUCGUUUUGACCCAUAUUUAACCGAGCGCUAUUCCAGGUUCUUUUUAGAUUAAGGUGAGGACUAGGUUGUGGAUUCCUAUGAUAAAUUAGAUGAAUUAGAAUACUUGUAUGCUUGGUAUAUGGAUUAUAUAUGAUUGAUAAAUGCUGAUUGACAAUUGAUGGUUGAUGGGUGAUUGUUAACGGAAAAUGAGUAAUUAUUAAGAGAUAUGAUAAUUUAUGAAGUAUUAACUUGCUAGGGUAUCAGAAUUUAUUGUGUGACGGCCUACAAUGAGGAACUGAAUAUUGUGAAAUUGUAGUGAUCGAAAAAUUGUUUGACGGCCUUGAUGGUGACUUGAUGUGUGGUGUCGAGGGUUUGUCAAGUUUUACCCUAAUUAAAAUCAAUAGCCGCAAGUGCACAGCUGAUCAAUUGUAGUACUUAGGGAUCGAAUCCACAGGGAAGGAGGAUCUUUUCCUGCAAAAAGCCUUUGAAAUAAGUUAAAGUAAGGAAGUCUAGAACAAAAACGGUUUUGUAGGGGUUUGGUAGUGUGUUUAAAAUGUAAAAACGAAAUAUUAAAAGAGAAUACGGAAAUUAAAUGACGUAAUAACUAAACUUAAUGAAAAUGACUAAAAAUGAUAAAAACGAAUAUUCUAAUGCUUAAAUGAAAAUGAACUAAAAAGGAAAGACAAUAUUGAACUAAAGCUUGAAAGAAAAUCGGUGUAACUCAAUGGGAAAGAAAGCGUUGGGGUUCAGGGAAGUUUUCUCAGGGGUACGAACGAUUCAAAACAUUGCUAGAGAGGAAAUUUUAUAAGAUCUUAGCUUAAAAUUUUCGAACUGGAGUCACGGACGUAUGAAUACGCCACUGUCGUGAUCAUAGACAACUAUCUCUCUCAACCCUGACCAGUAGGUUUCCACUCUGGCCCUGGAAGAGAAGAGAUGCAUUAUGUUUAAGACUCGUCCUCAUUCACAAAUCGCCCAUAGGUAGGUUUUCACUCCUAUGUUUGUUUUGCUCUCCCAAACUAGAUCUGAUACCUGAUGAAAUCUUUCGUGUCACCAAGCAUCUGGAUCAGAUUGUAGUUCAUGACGCUACUCUCACGCAGUAAAAACGAAUUCAGAAGAAAAAGUUCUAAGAUUCGGCUCAAAAACUCAUGGAAUCCUCAUCGAACAUAUAAAUCCCCAUCGAAAAUCCCUUAAUCCCAACAAUAAAACUACUCAGACAUAAUGAACGAAAUCAUAAACAUAAUAUUAAUAAGUAGAAUAGAAACCGAAAUUGAAAAAGAAAGAACAAGGGUUCAAGAGAACAAAUCUCUCUCUCCCUAAAAGCGAAAGCAAAAACAAGUAUUCUAAAACAAUAAGAAAGAUAGAAGAUUAUCGAUUAGGGUUCCUAAGACAUGUAUUUAUAGUGCUCAAGACCUCUCUGGACGUCACUUAGGGUUUCUCCAAAUGAGGGAAUCAUUGUGGGCUUCAGAAAUGGGCUUUUGGGCUCGGAGGUUGAUGGACGCGGUCGGGAGUGCUCUGACCGCGGGGAAUGGGUGGUUUGCCGCGGUCGGGAUGCUCCUGACUGCGGGAAAUUGCUUGUUGGCCGCGGGUGGAAGUGCUUGCCGGCUGGUUUAUGGGACAUCUUGCUCUUCGCGUAUCUUUUGAUUGAACCGUUGGAUUGCCAAGCUGUAAAGUGCACUGGAAAGCUGAUACUUCCAUCUUUAAGGUCUCCAAAUUUGAGCUGGAUCAGACGGUGCGAAGGCCUUCAAUCAUGGGUGAACUUAUGACGGUUUGACUCUGAGCUGAAAUCUGGUUUUCUAUUUAUUUUGUUAAGCUUUUCCCUAAGUUACCUGAAAAGAGUCUUGGAACCACAAAUACUAGAAAAACGUGAUAAAAGUACUUAAAAGCAAUUAAAAACAUAGAAAAAGUAUUUCAAAACGAUCCAUAAAAGUGGUCAAAAUACGGUGUUAUCAACUCCCCCAGACUUAAACCUUUGUUUGUCCUCAAACAAAGUAAAAGCAUAAACUGGUUAAGUGAAAACAAAAAUAGGAAAUGCACAAAUCUCAUAGACAUGAACUCUUAAACUAGGACCAAAGAUAGUGCAUCAAUCCACAACUCAGUCUAGAAAAUUCUCACCAAUGCACAAGAGAUACUAGUCCACUUUUUCCGUCAUGCAAAACUUAAACAAUCUAAAUCUUGAUUCCAGUCAACUAGCUCUCUACAUUCAUUAAGUUCAAUAGUGAGUUCUCAUUAAAAACAUCAUCCAGGGUAGACGGUGUUUGGCAUUAAAGAGCUAUUUAAGUGGUAGAGUUAAAGUGUUUUGGGUUACCUGAAGAUCUGGAGGAUGCAAGAUAAUAUGCAAAACCGCUAGAGAGAUAAGGACCUGUUGAUGACCACAGUUUUCAGUCAUUUCUUCUUGCCAAAUGUUGUUGCAUAAUCUUUCCUCCUUUGUUGUAAACAGCUGUUCCCCCAGACUUAGAUUCUUUCUGGGAAUCAGAAAACAAUCUCCAAAACUCCAUAAAAUCAAACUCUAGUUGCCUUGGGACUUAAAAUUCGACCUAUCUAGACUCUCUAAGGCUUUUAUUUCCUUUCUUUUCUUAUUUUCGGAUUAUUUAUUUUUUUUUUUUUUUUGGAAAGGAAAUGCCUUUUAAAGAGAGAGAGACUAGAGGACGAGAUUGUACCAAAAUUUGAGAUUUUUCUAAGGCAAACUACGCUUCCUCUUGUGUUGAAUCCUUCCGGGAACUUUUCCGGCAAAUCGCAGGUCUUUGUCCUUGGUGACUGAAAACUGCGUCGUUCCUCUUUCUCUCCAACGUUUUUGAACUUAUCUGCAUAUAAGACAAUAGAAAACAAGAGUGCAUGUGGUUUGAAAGAGGAUUGGUUAAGGUGGGGAACUAGCUAAAGAUGAACUAGCCAAUCAGGAUCAACAGAGAGUGAUAAAAGGAUAAAGGAGUCCUGAAUGUAUGAUUCGUUUCCCUGGUCUAAUGCUUCAAUGAGAAAAUUAAGUCCAAAUUAAGUCCAAAUAAAACAGAGCUAGUGUAUCCCUUCAUCUAAAUCAAAAUCAUUCAAAUUCCUAUGGGGUACUUCGUUUCAAAUGUGCUUAGCUACCGCCUAGUCUAUUCCUAAAUCAUGAAUGAGGAAGUCACUAGGAACAGUCUAAAGGACACAGUCAACUAUCAUUGAUUCAUGUUCACCAUUCCUUUUUAAAACGUAUUUUGUUUUGAAAACCGAUUUUGAAAAACUUUAAGGAAAAUGCAAAAAGUGUAGAUAAUGCAAGACUCAUGAAAGAAAAGUGGUUAGAAAGGGAUGAAAUCCUCCCCCAGACUUAAAUCACACUGUCCUCAGUGUGAAACAAGUCGAGAUUGGAUGAGAAAAAUGCAUAAAUAAUCGAAUUGGUAAGGACAAAGAGAACUUACCUGGAUCCGGGAUGCUGGUGGAGAUGAACCGGAUUCAUUCGAAGGGGUUUGGGAAGGUGAUUAGGUGGUGAUUAAGGUAGUGGAAGGUGAUGAAUGAGGUGGAGGGUGAUUGGUGAGGUGGAAUGGGGUGAAAGGGGUGGUUUGGGUCGAGUUUGGAUGUCAACGACAAAGUGCCGCGGUCAGGGGCUGCACGACCGCGGCAAACAAGCACUUGGCCGCGGUCAUAUUCACGCGACCGCGGUCGAUGAGUAGUUUCCCGCGGUCAGAACAUCUGCGACCGCGGGGGCUUAUAUCGCGGCCUCUUCCUGCUUCUCCUUGGUUCCUGCUGGGCCGAGCAGUCAGAUACCAUCCUUCUUUUUGGUCUUUUCGGGUUUUUUGAUUUUUUUUGGCUUUUUUGUUUUAUAAGAAACACCUGAAACUAAGAAAAAGAAAAAGAAAGAAAAAUCCUAAAGAAAACAAUACCUAAAUUGGUUGCCUCCCAUUGAGCUCUUCUGUUUUAAGUCGUUUAGCUCGACUUUUGGUGUUGGACGUGACUUAUUCCAUUGAAGAAGACCUUGUCCUGAGACAAGUCUUUUUCGAAAUCUCCUUGCCUUGCUUAGCAGGUUCUUCGUCACUCCAAAGCUCUUCUUCAAACUCUUCUGUUGCAGGACGUUUUCCUGCUUUGAUGUUGUAUGGAACAGCUUCUGUGAAGACAUCUUUGUCGAUAUUAGCAAACGAAAUCCUCAGGUUGGGCCAGUCCAUUAUAGCUCCAGAAGUUUCUAGAAAAGACCAUCCCAGAAUCACUGGAUAUGUUGCAUCUCUUGUCUCGACAAUGUAGAAGUCGACAGGCACUAUGCAAUCUCUUAUUCUCAAAGGAAUUUCAUGAGCUAUUCCUUGAGGUGUUGCAUUAGAAUCAUCAGCUAGACUAAUCUUUGCUCUAGUCCUGCGCAGGUGUCUAAUACCAAGUCUCAAAGCAAUUGCCUUGGACAUCAUGUUAAGACAAUCUCCAGAAUCACAUAGCACGUUUUUAAACAUCUCUUCUCUAAUAGAACAAGAGAUAAGAAACUGACCUGCACCAUCGAUUUUGUGAAGUGUUCGAACAGGUUUAUUUUCCCUUUGACCUUUAUUUUCAAUUUCCAUUGCUUUGUUUCUGUUUCAUUUAAAUUCAGGUUUUCAAUAAGGAAGAACAAACACAAAAGACGAGCAGCACUCUCCAGCAAGAUAAGUACACUUAAACAUUUCAACUUUUCUAUUUUCUUUAUCAUUAUUUCCAAGAUUUAUCACACUGAGGACAGUGUGAAAUAAGUCUGGGGGAGGAUGUUUAUCCGUUACUAAUGAAAUUUGAUUUGUUUUGAGUUUUUUUUGGACACAUAAAAUUUUUCAUUAAAAAUUUUCAAAAAAAAAAAAAAAAAAAAAAAUCGUUUUCAAAAAGUUUUCAAACCAGGAACACAAUAAACAUUUCUAUGAUGAUUUAGACCAGUGUGCUUCUACGCUAUUUCCUCGUUUUUUGCUCUUUUGUGAUCUAGGCCUAGACUAGGCGGUAACUAGAGUACUUGCAUUACGAAAUCCCACCAGAGGACUUCUAUCCAUGGAGAUUCUUUCUGACAGGGUAUACUAGCUCAUUUUAUUUGACAUUAAUAUUGACAUUUAAUUUUCUCAUCAUUGAUUUUAGGCAGGCAUCGACAUACAUAUCUAGGACGUCUUUUACCCUCACUUUUACCACUCUUUGUCGUCCUAGAUGACCAGUUUAUCUUUAUCUGGUACCAUACCCUAAACCCAAAACCCUUGUUUUCAAUCCUCGUGCAUUCUCUCUUUAGUUUAUAUCAGCAGAUAUGUGCAAAAACGUCGGAGAGAAGAGGAGCGACGCAAUUUUCAGUCACUCACAAAGGAGACUGAAUGGAAUUGGGAAGGAAGAGUAUCAGAAACAUCAAGAAGCUUUACAAGACAAAUCUUAACUGGUAAUUUCGUGCUCUCUAAGACUCUAUAUCUAAAGGUGUUCUCUCUCUUUCAAAAAAAAAAAAAAAAAACGAAUGAAAAGAGAGAGAGAGAA
rnacentral:lncRNA from 1 species